rnacentral:lncRNA from 1 species
ACCAUGUAGUAUCAUUUUCUCUUUUGAUGCAUGUUACAGGUUACCAUGAUUUUGAAUGAAGUUCUUAGGUUAUACCCGCCAGUAAUUAUGCUUAAUCGAGAUGUUCAUGAAGAAAUAAAGCUUGGAAAUUUGCUAUUACCUGCCGGAGUGCAGAUCUCGUUGCCAACAAUCCUCCUUCACCAAGAUCAUGAACUAUGGGGUGAUGAUGCCUCUGAGUUCAAACCAGAGAGGUUUGCUGAAGGUGUUUCAAAGGCAACAAAGAGUCAAGUCUCAUUCCUUCCAUUUGGAUGGGGUCCUCGAAUAUGCGUUGGACAAAACUUUGCUUUGAUUGAAGCAAAAAUGGCUUUGGCAAUGGUUUUACAGCGCUACUCUUUUGAGCUCUCUCCGUCGUAUAUUCAUGCUCCUCGCACAGUCAUAACUCUUCAGCCACAGCACGGUGCUCCAAUGAUAUUACGUAAACUCUAAAAUGUUUAUAUGUGACGGGUAAGAGUUAUCCCAGGGUAUAAAGUAGGUUGGAUCUCCCACUAAACCAAACCAAAAACAAAGCCUCUAGUUUAUGAUGUUAUGUGCAAAUUAUGUUAUAAUGUCCAAUGACAUAUUUCUCAUAUUAAUCACAACAUUAUAGUACCGUGGGUUGUUUUGAGUGUUUUGAAUUUUUUUUAUGAGCCAUUGAUCAGUAAAAGAUUAUUUGGGGUGUAUUUUUUUUUCCAUGGUGAAAAGACUUUUUUAUUUCUAAAUUCAACAAAACUUGUUGACUAAAGGGUUUUUAGAUAGUAAAAAUAUUUAAAAUAUUUCUUUACCCUAGGAUCAAAAAGUUAUUAGGUUAUUGAACAAUAGGUUUUUUUGUUUUUCCAUUAUUCAUAUGUAGUAAAAGUACAUUUUUAGCCCUAGAUAAGACAAAAAAUCAGGUUUUUAUUUAGAGGUAUUUUUAUAUUUUCGCAUGGCUUUUAGAUAAUUACAAAGGUUAUAAGAGUUUUUUAAUAUUUUUAAGUUGAGUUUUUAAUUUUUUAAUCAAAAAAGUUAUUGGUGUAUGGUAAGCACGUCAACAUACAUAGAUGAUGUCGGCAUCAUUCAAACAAUAAUGAUAGAUAAACUUGGCAUUCCAUGGCAUAUAAUAAUUAAAUUGUCGCUAGUAUUAGGGUUAGAUUGCUAAUGUAAAAAAAUACAUGUAACUGAAACUAAAGUAAUGAUCGUAUCAGUUUAUAUGGUCAUAUGUAAAAAAGAGUACAAUUUUUAUAUUUGGCUCGCUUACUAAAUGACUGGCUCAGUUAAACUAAUCGGAAGAAGGGUAGUAACUGAAUAUAUAUAUAAUUAGCUGACAUCACAGCUCAAUGGCUUAGAAGAAAUCUAGAAUGAGUCUCCAGCAGCUUCUCUUCUGCAGGGCUUGUCUGAAAUGCAGAAAAUAAUCCUGCCACCCAUAGAGGCUUGUUGCUUAGUAUUUCUCUUGUCUGCAGGACUGGCUCAGUUAAACUAAUCGGAAGGGUGUGACUUAUAGUUCCUUCAAGGUAUGGUUUAUGAUGCACUUGCUAUUAUUAUCAUUAUUAUUAUUAUUAUUAUUAUUAUUAUUAGAGGCCUUUGCCAAUUGAUGAAUUAACUGUGAAAGAAAAUUGAAUUAAGAAGUACAUUAUGGAGUAAAGAAAAAGGGUAGUAACUGAAUAUGGAAGCAGGUAAAAGUUCUUAUGCAGUGGCUCUCUUUUGUGAACUCAUCUUGUGCCAAAAUAACCUUGUUUACUUGUACUUAAUUACAGAUUCAGUGCUGAAUUUAAAUUUUUAUGCACUACCCCUUACGAAGCCCUUAAAAUACUGGAUAAAACUUACUUCAACCCGACUACUUCUGCCGUGGCUCUUGACACUAGAAAGACCAGAGCUGGUCACAUUCUCUUCCCACCAGCACCAAAUUUCUGCUCAGCUCCAGACAUCAAAACCGUAUUUUCUGCAGCAACAAUCUACCAGAGCAUCUUCAUCAGAAAUAUAAAAGGCUGGAUAUAAAGAACAAGAAAAAACUAUUCUGAUCCAGUGCAAAAAGGUACAUGACUCAUCAAUAUAGAGGGUAAUAGAUAAUAGAAAACACACAAGUAGAACAUGGAAGCAGGUAGAAGUUCUUAUGCAGUGGCCCUCUUUUGUGAACUCAUCUUGUGCCAAAAUAACCUUGUUUACUUGUACUUAAGUACAGAUUCAGUGCUGAAUUUAAAUUUUUACGCAUUACCGCUAUGCCAACUUAUAUCAACUCAGAACAUUUGUAGUGGUUUAUCAGCUAACCACUAGUUAAUAUAUUGGUAAAAGUUCAUUCUUCAUUGAUCUACUAGGACAUAUUCUACUGCAAGCAAACAUUGACUAUUCACCGAUUAAGCAUCAUCUUAACUGUCGUAUCACGGCGGCCUUAAAUAUAUCUUUGAAAAGAAUGAAUUUCUGGCAUCUUGUUAUUUUAGGGAAAAAUAUCUUGUUUAAGGAGUCGCUACCUAGUAUUAUGAUCACUAGGAACCCUAACUGGUCAACAGAGAUUCUAUGGUACGAGAUUGGUUACGUAAAAUGAAGAAAUUAUCACCUCUUAAACGUUCUGCCUGAGACAGACUGCAUUGCUGGUUUUGUCUUAAAUUGCUAAACAUUUAUUAGCAUAUGUUAUGAUGAUUUGUUUAUAAUAUUCCUGAAUCUGGCACUAGUGAAUAUUUGAUCUCGAAUACUUCCAACUUUGACGUUGGUAAAAAUUCCAGCUAAAAAAAAUCAGGAUAUUUUUUUAUUCCUAAUCCUGAUAUCAGUGAAUAAAUUGUUAAAAUACAUUUUUUCUAAGACGUGCAAAAUUUCUAUUUCUACACUUUCUAUUUUUUUAAUUUUUAAUUUUUUUAUUUUUUGGGGGUUGGGCUGGACUCAGCCAGCCCGACCCGGUCACUGGCCCAAGCCAGUGACCAGGCUGGGCUGAGCAACACGCGUGCGCUAACGCACGCGUGUUGCUACAAUGUGCAAGUGAAUUAAAAUUCACUUGCACAGAGCCAAUGGCAAGGUGCUUGACAGUGUGAUAACGGUUGCUUUUCAAAUAACUUUUUGUGCCGAAAUGCAUGCCAAUGAUGUUUUUUUAUUUUUAAAAAAUUAUUUUUGACACCAGCACAAGAAUCACUAGGGACUAUUUGCCUUAAACUAAAGGGAUGCAAUCGAGAGAGUGACACAAUGAUUUUCCUUUUAGUUCAGUGCAAGACCACAUUCCACCACUUUAAGGACGCAUGUGGAUACACGAUCACGGUGCCGUCCCGUCCUCCUAUCAUAGAUGUGUCAAAUUCCCAUUCCAAGGAGGAAGAACCAUAGUGAGAACAGAGAAAAACAUACCCAACCCCCGAGUACCACAUCAAAACAAUCCAAAUCAUAUUAAAUUUUAAUAAAAAAAAUUAAUUUUUUGGGCAAGAAGGAAAGGUUCGCUUACCUGGUCUGGGAGGCGAUGGUGAAGUUCCUUCUGUGUGAUUGAACCACGCUUGGCAGGGCACCUUUUCCACCUUUCCUUGCAUUUUUCUGGCCUUAUUUCUUCUGCUGCUAAUGACUCGGAGCAGAAACUUUAGGCUAAUGACCGAACUGAUUCUCUGUUUUCUUUUAUUUGCUUGCAUUUUAAGACCAAGGCAGGGCUAGAAACACUGAUCCCUGUUGUCUUCGAUCUCCUUUCCUUCCUCCUUUCUUUCUUGUUUCUGUGUUUUUUUUUUUUGUUUUGGUUCGUGCUUUAUUUCGUCCCUCUCUGUUUUUUUGUUCUCCCUCCUCCUUGUUCUCUCUGCCAGUUCCUCUUCCUUUUCUUUUUUAUUCCUCGUUUUUUUCUUUGUUCUUUUUUUACUCUCGAUCUCUCUCUCUAUUCCCGCGGUUCCCCCUCUGUUUUCUUCUUCCCCCCCUCUGUCCCCUCACGAGGUUGCCUUUACCUGGGUUUUUAUAGGGCUGGGAGAUCGAUCGGCGCUGUAACAGCCGACAGUAAUGGCGUGGGGCACUCCAUUCAAAGGAGAAACGUCCCUGCCUUUGAUGGCGGAGCCAUUGCAGAGGAAGAAAACAAGCGAACAGUCGCCCGCCCAAAACGACUCCGUUUUCCAAUUUCAAAAGCUGCUUUCAGUUUGGUCCUUGGAAUUCUUGUAAUUUUGCAAUCAAGCCUCUGGUUAAAAUGUAAUUGGAUCCUUGCAUUUCCGCGUCAUUUUCAAGCUAGUCCUUGGAUUUUAAUUUUUGCAAUUUGGACCCCAAUUAAACCCCAAACUUUGGUAUUUCUUCAAUUAAGUUCUUAAUUUCAUUAAUUAAAUUAAUUUCAAGGUCAAUUAAGUCUCAAAACUUAUUAAUUCUCCAAUUAAGCUCUUGAUUUGAUUAACAAAACUAAUCCAAAGUUUAAUUGAAUACCAAAACUUCCAAUCAUGUUACCCUUAACCCAAAUUUAAUUUAUUCUUCAUUUAUUUAUUUUUAUUUGUUUUUUUCAUUUUUUUUCUUUUUUGUUAUCAUUUUUUCAGGAAAUAAAAUAAUAAUAAUUAAAAUAAAAAAGAUCAAAAAUUGGAUUAUAACAGUUGCCCUCUCUUUAUAAUAUUUACAAUGCAAAGCUAUUGGAAAAUAUCAUUUUCUUUUAGCUUUGUGUAGUAAAUUUAUAAAGAAAAGUAGAUACAUAAAGAAUUUUUUCUUUUCUAGAGUCUUGAAAACUUCGAAAACAGUAGAUUGACAUAUGACUUUUACAGAGAGAUGUAGAAAUCAAGAAACAAGUCAUUUGGAAGACUACCUUUUUUUUUUUUUUGAAAUGGAUCAUUUUUUUUUGGGCAACCUGCCCAAUGAUAAAAGAACGCGAAGGGUUUCGCGGGUGGUCUAAAUGUUCCAAGCGACCUACCCGAUGAAGAAUAAAAAGCGAAAGAUUUUUUUUUAACAAAAAUAAAGAAAGGGUCUUAUUGGUGUCUUAUCCCCGAGAUGAGAGCUCAAAAUAACACUUGAAAGGAAGACGAUGACUCAAAGGCGCACUCGAAAAAAAAUGAGGACUCGAAACGUACUUAAAAAAGUGAGGGCUCGAAAGCGCACUCGAAAGAGGUGAGGGCUCGAAGGCGCACUCAAAAGAGAGGUAGGGUUAGGAAACGCACUAUCUUGGAUGGUCAAGGGCCCAAAGGCGCAUUUGAAAAGGAAGUGAGGGCUUGAAGCAUACUUAAAAAAGUGAGGGCUCGAAGGCGCACUCAAAAGAGAGGUGGGGUUAGGAAACGCACUACCUUGGAUGGUCAAGGGCUCAAAGGCGCACUUGAAAGAAAGUGAGGACUCGAAACGUACUUAAAAAAAGUGAGGGCUCGAAGGCGCACUCAAAAGAGAGGUAGGGUUAGGAAACACACUACCUUGGAUGGUCAAGGGCUCAAAGGCGCACUUGAAAAGGAAGACGAUAGGUCAAAGGCGCACUCGAAAGAAAGUGAGGACUUGAAACUUACUUAAAAAAAUGAGGGCUCGAAGGCGCACUCGAAAGAGGUGAGGGCUCGAAGGCGCACUAAAAAGAGAGAUAGGGUUAGGAAACGCACUACCUUUGAUGGUCAAGGGCUCAAAGGCACACUUGAAAAAGAAGACGAUGGUUCAAAGGCGCACUCGAAAGAAAGUGAGGACUCGAAACGUAAUUAAAAAAAGUGAGGGCUCGAAGGCGCACUCGAAAGAGGUGAGGGCUCAAAGGCACACUCAAAAGAGGUGAGGGCUCGAAGGCACACUCAAAAGAGGUGAGGGCUCGAAGGCGCACUCAAAAGAGAGGUAGAGUUAGGAAACACACUACCUUGGAUGGUCGAGGGCUCGAAGGCGCAGUCGAAAAGGAAGUGAGGGCUUGAAGUCGCUCUCGAAAGGGAGGUAGGGUUAGGAAACGCACUACCUUGGAUGGUCAAGGGCUCAAAGACGCACUAAAAAAGAGGUGAAGGCUUGAAGGCUCAUUUGAAAGGAGAUGAAGGCUCGAAGGGGCACUUGAAAUGAGGUAGGGUUAGGAAACAUAUUACCUUAGAUGGUCGAGGGCUCGAAGGCGCACUCGAAAAGGAAGCGAGGGCUUAAAGGCGCUCUCGAAAGGGAGGUAAGGUUAGGAAACACACUACCUCGAGAAUGGAAAAUGAAAAGUGGUGGAAAAAUAUAGAGAUUUUUUCAGGUGGCCUAAUUCUCAUGGGCGGCCUGCCCAACAAUUUCAAUCUUGGCCAUUUCAAGGUGGCCUUCCAUUUGAUGGAUCCUGAUAGAAAUUUGCAAAACUUAUUGCCCAUUGUUUCAAAGUUUAGAUGAUAUGCAUGCAUCUUUACCUGUUUUGAAAUAUAGGCCCCCCAUUUUUUCUUGAUCUUCUUGUUACUUUGAUUGAUGAGGACUUGUUAUCUUUUAUUUGGGUCAUCUUCAUCAUUUGACUUCUAGUCCACUCGAGUUGGCCCAUGUAAAUCUUUUUCCAAAUUUGUUUACACAACUCAGCCUUCAUGAUGCCCAUCAUGACCCACUAUCUUGCUAGAGAUUUUCUGUCUCGCCAUAUAAUUUGAGAGGAUCAUUCAUUACCCUAGUGUCACUACUACAAACAUUCGGUGUCAAUUGCUGAAAGGAUCAAACUGUUUUUCGUAAACCAAAAUGCCCCCUUGUCUUGUUGUAGGGGAUGCUCCUCUUUUUUUCCUAGAAGGGAUCGAUUCUCUUUCUAAACACAAUGUUGCCCCCUUGUACUGAUCAUUGCCCCCAAGUGUGCUAUGUCAGUGACUUAGACAAAUAAUGGUUUUAAGAGGCCAUUCUCUCAUUUUUCUCCUUUUAGUUUGGUGAAGGAAUAUGGGUCUAAAAUGAAUCUUGAAAUCUUGAUCUUGCAUUUUGAAAACAAAAAUUAUUUCGAUGUGAGUCUAAAACAAUUUACUUUUGAAAUCUUGCAACUCCUUGGUUAUUUUUUUUCUUGGAAGAGAUUAUUUGCUCUUGUGUUUGGCAAUGAGGUCUCCGGUGAAAAUACAUCAUGAGGUGACCUUUUGUUUUUAUAGGUUUUCAAAGUGAAGGGCUCGAGAAAAAGCUCGAGGUUUUGCUUGAGAAAAACUUAUCUCUUUUUGAACACUUAUUUUUAUCAGCAUGAAUAAUAAUGAGUAGUUUGUUCUUGAUGUCAUGAAUCUUAUGAAAAAGUACUCUUUGCAUUUUGAGAGCAUUGUUUAUUGUUCUAGUUGCUUGCUUGCUUGAUUAGAAAGGACUUCUACAUGCACGUAAUGUAUGUUGUGGUUCUUGGCUACGAAAGAAAAGGAUUCAUAAGGCUCAAAGAGUGUUUCAGGGUUUCAAAGACUGAGGAUCACUAUCAGCAAUUCGACUCUUGAUGUCGUUCAUCUUUUCUUUUACCGCUCUUCUUUGAUUUGCCCUUUUUUUUCUUUUUUAUUGCUUUGCUAGGGCAUACUCAUUUUAUCUUGGAUGUCACUUUUUUUAGUGAUUUGGGCAUGCCCCCUAGCAUUUGAGUUUCUUGAGCUCUUAUACCUUUUUUGGCUUUCUCACAGCUUUUUCUCUUUUCUUAUUGAAAUUUUCUCUUGCCCCCUAGUGUGGGGUGUGAUCCUUGUCGGGAUUUUUUUCAUGAAAGAAAAAUUAUUUAGGCUAAAAAAGGGAUCGUAAGGGAUGUACUUAUUUCAGAACGUGAAAGGAAUAACAAAGAUGACCUUUCCUCAUUUCAAGCGCAAGUAGCUAUGAUCAAUAAACUUUGACCUCAUCCAGUGUGAUGGUUUGGUCUUUGCAAAGAUGCAUUUUAUGAGUCAUGAGCAACGAGUUCACUACAUAUCAUUAUUCAUACAUUUAAAAACACAUGAUUCAAGAGUCAUGGGGUAAGGGUGUUUAUUCAUUUCUUUUUUAUUUUUUCUUUUUUAUCCAAUAUUCUUUGGUUUAUAAUUUAGUCACCUCAAUGAUGGAGUUGCUUGAUUCAUGCGUCAUUCUACAAGUAGAAUGUCAAAAUUAUUGUUUUAAAUAAACAUCAAAUUAUUUUUGAAAUCAAAAUGCAAGUUCAAUUUUUCAAAACUCCAAUAGGGAAAGAGAUGAAUGGCGUCUAUAAGAUCACGUGAGGCUUCAAAUGUGUAUUUGUGAGUUCUUAUAAGAAAUCUCUCUCAGGAAAAUGAAUAAUACUUAGUCGUAAACACGAUUGAAUGACAAACUCAUUAUUUCAUUGAAGCUUUGGAAAAGAAGUUCAACAACAAAGAACUUAUAGCAACAUCUUGGGCUAUGAAUACUGGCAUGGUAACACAUAAAGGGGCUAAACAUUUAAUGAUCAUUGAUUGGAAUUUUUGGAAUUUUUCAAUCACUCAUUUUUCUCGACAAUGGCAUUUUUUCAACAGUUCGUUGAAAUCAUAUGCAGACCAUUCUUGACCUAAUAUCACCGUAACUGUUUCUUGAAGGUAGUUGAUUUCUAGGAGUCGGUAUGAAGAAAUUAACUAUAGGAAGGGUAGGUGCCUUGGCAACCAACUUCAGUGUUCCUCCCUUUUCCAGCCAAAACCGUUUUUCUCAAUCGGGUCAGCAAUCUUACCUAUCCUAAUGGCUUGUUCAAUCCUUUCAGUUAUAACGACCAGGUCAGUGAAAUGUUGCGCGAAGCUUCCAACCAAGUAUUCAAAGUACGGGGCCUUGAAAGUGUUGACAAACAAGUUGAUUAUCUCCUUUUCCAACAAAGGAGGAUUAACAUGUGCGGUAGCCUCACGCCAUCUUUAGGCGUAUUCCCUUAUGGACUCCUCGUUGUCCUUCUCCAUAGCUUGCAAGCUUAACCGAUCAGGUCCCACGUCUAUAUUGAACUUAUAUUGCCUUGUCAUAACCCAUUUUUGGGUUCUUCCAAAUUACAUUUUCUUUUUUUCAGAAAAAAACCUGAAAUAGUGCCGUUUUAACGGCACUGUUCUCCUUCUUCCCUGCGCAUGCAGAGGUAGGGAAGAAGAAGAUUUUAAAUCUUUUUUCCCCGCUAUUCUCCUUCUCUUUCCCCUCCCACUUGCCCACAAAACCCGGACACAAGCUAUCCUCCUUACCCUACCACCAUUAAUACAACCCAUGCCUUGCAGACAACCGGCCACCUUACCCUGCAGGGGUAAGGUAGCCUCGUUUCCCUCCCGCGUCUUGAUGGAACAAGGCAGGGGGGACUAUCUCUCCGCUUGGCUAUAAAUACAGAGAAGGGAGAAGACAAAAAAAAAAAGGGGAGGAAAAGAAAAAAAAGGAAACUAGAGGGGGCAAAAAAUUUAGGAAACGAACUUGAAGAAGAUAACCGAAUAGAGAGAAGGAAGCAGGGGAUUGUUUGAGAGAGGAACUGAGAUUGUUUUGAAAACAGGGUAGACGAACAGAGAGGGGAAGACUUGAACUGACGAGAGAAUAUAAAGAAAGAACAGAAAAACAAAAGAACAGGGGAGAAGAACAAUAACUCAUCUCUCUCUGGUUUCUCUCCCUCCACCGUUGGAAGCUGCGCCACCGUCAUUCUGCUUUGUCACCAGCAGCACCGCCAACGACAGCAGCUCCACCAUCGUCAGAGACCGAAGAAGGAGCAGCAGAAGCAAGAGCAAUAGGAGAACAGAAUACAGGGGACGAAAAAAACAGAUAACAGAGGAGAAUAGAAGAAUAGUAACCUCUCUCUCCGGCCUCUCUCUCUUCACCGUUGGAAGCAGCGCCGCCAAUAACAGCUGCCACCGUCCUCCCCGUCAUUGAUAACAGCCCCCGCAACGUGAGAAACGGAAGAAUAAACACCGAAAAAAACAGAAACAGAGGAGAACAGAGUAGAAGAAAAAAAAUGCAGAAAAGAAGAAGAAAGGCCGACCACCGUCCAAGCCGUUCUCCGAUCAGCAACCGCCAGCAGCACAGCCUCAAAGCCACCGCAGGUCCACCCCUUUUCCUUCUUCUUUUUCUUCUUCUUCUUCGCUGCACCGUCUCCACUAUUCACGUAGCAUGUGAACAGUGGAGGGUGCUCCACUAUUCACUGGGCCGGACAAGUCUGGCCCAGCCUAAAAUGAGUGGGCCGGGUCUGGCCCGGUCCAAAAAAAAAAAUUUCAAAAAUUUGUGAUUUCUCCGUGUAUUUUUCCGCUACGUUUUGCUUAAUAUUGGUUUGCAUUUUUAUAUCGUAAAAAUACAAAUCCGGUAUUAAAAUACCCGGUUUUCAUCAAAACAUAAAAAAAACAUGUUUUUGUUUUCAUGCAUACGGCCAAGUCUCUCAAAGCUAAAAAACUCAUAUUGUAUUUUCAUACAACGAAGAAAAACUUCAAAAAAAAAUUGUUUCAGCAUGCAUUUUUGGUUUUAAUAACCAGUUUAUUAAAGUUACGAGAACUUGGUCAAUAUUUCAAAAAUUCCAAAAAAAUUAUUUUUUUUCUUUUAAUAUCAGGGAUUACAAAUUUAUACGUAAAACGUAUUCCUGAUAUUGAAAAAGGUAGUUCUUUUAUUGAUGUUAGGACGGUUAGGUUUUACUCGAUAAGAUAAGGAUCUCCUUAUCAAGGAGGACUUUUCUUAAACCGUAGACAGACCAACAAUUAGAAAUAUGAUACAACCGUAGCAUAUAUCAGACAAUAAAACAAUGCAGCUUACCUUAGGUAGGGCGUAUUUGGGGUGCUAAUACCUUCCAUUUGCGCAACCAGUCUCCGUACCUGAUCUCCGAGACCAGUUACGGUUCCUAGUGACCAAAAUACUAGGUGACGACUCUCAUUCCAUUUUUUCACUGAUAAAAGACAAGAAUUCCUUGUCUCCCCAUAUUUUCCAGAUACACACACAUUCAUGAUGGUGGACGAUCACCGCGACACCGCACACGUGCGACAUGCCUCAUGAAGGCAUCAAUUAAAUCCUUCCAUUUUUUAACUUUGGUAUUGUCCAACCGUAUAUAGCAAAUGAGGGUAGUGUCACUCAAGCUGUCUUGAAAGAAAUGAAUCAGCAGUUUCUCAUCAUCAACCACCUCAGCCAUUUUGUUGCAGUAUGCUUUGAGAUGAGUUAUAGGGCAUUGAAUUCCCGUAUAUUUGACAAAUUCUGGCACUCUAAACUUUUUAAGAAUGACAACGUUGGGCACCAAACAAAUCUUAGCAACCUUUAUAGGAUCAUAUAGGUGAAUUCCCUCAAAUGCCCUUAACCUUGCUCUAAGGCAACUAAUUUGUUCAGACCAUCUUCUUUUACCAUCUUGCUCUUUCGAGAUUCCUUCUCUAUGGAAUCAAUGGUAAAUGACAUUCUCAUGGGGUAUGCUGGUUAGAAAUGCAUGGCUUGUUGAAAAUCAAAUGACAACCCAUUUGCCCCCCUAUUCUGUGGAUUGACGGGAUUUACGGGCAUAGGUUCAGGCUGAGCUAUAUGUGUUGCUUUUCCGGAUUCUUCUCUAAGAUUGUCCACCUCUUUUUGGUGUUGGACUUCCAACUGGGCUCUUUCUUCAUUUUCCAUUUGUUUUUUUUUUUUGAAUGAGUGUUCUAGGUAGGUUUCAAUGGGGAACCUAUAUUUCAACCUAUAAUGUAAAUCAUGCAAUUUAUGCGAAAAUGUUGAUUCAAUUAAAAAUUCGUAUGAAAUACGGACUCGCCCUUCACGGGAUGACAACCUAAUAGGAAGACCCUAAUUGUUGAGUGCAUCAAGGGGUUAGUCAUUAUCUAGUUUCAAAGGGUCUCUCGCAUGCUCAGCGAUCGUCCUUGAAAGGUCGAUAUGAGGCUUACAAGUAGUGUGAAGAUAGAGGCCCUGAGUAAUAUCAGUUUGGAAUAUCAACCACUUCCAAGUAAACAAUCAAGCGAGAGUUGGAUGGUUUCACGAGUCUUACCCAGGCUAAAGCCGUUGGGGGUACCGCUACUUUCCCACUUAUCCUAGAUUGUAAAGUGUGUGCUCUCAAAGUGAUGCAUGGCAAUAUAAACAAGGAUGCAUGCUAAAGCAGUAAAUGCAUGAAAAAUAAACAAAUAAACACAACAAACAAGAUAGCAAUAAUAAGACAAAAGGCAAAGCUUAAUCCUAAAAAGUCCCUAUGGAGUCGCCAUUCUGUCGCACCAGACAUCGCGGCGGCCUUAAAUAUAUCUUUGAAAAGAAUGGAUUUCUGGCGUCCUGUUCUUUUAGGGGAAAAUAUCAUGUUUAAGGAGUCGCCACAUAGUAUUAUGGUCACUAGGAACCCUAACUGGUCAACAGAGAUUCUAUGGUACGAGAUUGGUUACGUAAAAGGAAAGAUAUUAUCACCCCUUAAACGUUUUGCCUGAGGCAGACUGCAUUGUUGGUUUUGUCUUAAAUUGCUAAACAUUUAUUAGCUUAUGCUAUGAUAAUUUGUUUAUAAUAUUCCUGACUCUGGCGCCAGUGAAUAUUCGAUCUCGAAUACUUCCAACUCUGGCGUUGGUAAAUAUUCCACCACGAAUAAUUCCAACUCUGGCAAUGGUAAAAAUUCCACUACGAAUAAUUCUAACUCUGGUGAUGGUAAAAAUUCCAGCUAAAAAAAAUCAGUAUAUUUUUUUAUUCUUAAUCCUGAUAUUAGUGAAUAAAUUGUUAAAAUACAUUUUUUCUAAGACAUGCAAAAUUUCUAUUUCUACGCUUUCUAUUUUUUUAUUUUUUUAUUUAUUUUAUUUUUUAGGGCUGGGCUGACCAACACGCGUGCGCUAAUGCAUGCGUGUUGCUACACUGUGCAAGUGAAUUAAAAUUCACUUGCACAAAGCCAAUGCCAAUUACAUGAACAAACUGCAAGAAGGAAAGGUUCGCUUACCUGGUCUGGGAGGCGAUGGUUAAGUUCCUUCUGUGUGAUUGAACCACGCUUGGCAGGGCACCUUUUCCACCUUUCCUUGCGUUUUUCUGGCCUUAUUUCUUCGGCUGCUAAUGACUUGGAGCAGAAACUUUAGGCGAAUGACCGAACUGAUUCUCUGUUUUCUUUUAUUUGCUUGCGUUUUGAGACCAAGGCAGGGCUAGAAACACUGAUCCCUGUUGUCUUCGAUCUCCUUUCCUUCCUCCUUUCUUUCUUGUUUCUGUGUUUUUUUUUUGUUUUGGUUCGUGCUCUGUUGCGUCCCUCUCUGUUAUGACACUAACAUUCAGAUAAAUCAUAAUGCAUCUUUCUAUGGAAUGAAGAUGAAUGAGCAUGCACUUGAGCCAGGAACAAAAUUCUUGAGGAAGAGACUGAGGAAGAAGAGCCAAUUCUUGACUACCACAGUCACAUACUAACACAACAAUUUAAGAUGGCAUUUUGAAGCAAAACCACAUUCGUAUUCCAAGAAUCAACAAAUCAUAAAACACCAUCAACUUACAUAAAGCACAAUAUGAAAAUUCAGCAUCUAUCAUUAUUGGCAUGGAAGAACUCAAUAGCAUGCAAUAACUAUGUCCUAACAUAUGUCUAACUACACAAUAUCUAACAUGUAUUAACUACUCAACAACAAAUAUCUAAAAAGGGCACUCACCGACAGGAGAUUUUGCUUAAGAGUCUGAAGAUCAGCAGCAACCACUUCAAACAAAUUUGUUAAUGAAACUGGUUCUCUUGACUCUUUCUUCAAAUUCAGAAGUACUGUGGGACCUUCAGCAACCCCAAUAUCAAGCCAAAAAUGAACAAAAAUACCAACAUUUCAAGCAUUACAACAUAUUAAAUCAAUGGCAGGUGCUUUAUUGAUGGAGACCAAACAUUUAAAUGUUAUGUUAAGUAAAUGGAAUCACCAGAAUCAUAAUGAAUUAGGAAAGCACUAAACUGUGGUCAACAAAGAAAUGGUUAAUGAAUGGCAACGACUUGUGCUACUCUAAAGCAGAUUCGAUCAGUAUCAGUAAGACAAGUCACUGAUUGUUAUUCCUGUUGGAUACAGACACUAAACUGUAAUCCAACAAAUUCAGAUUGUUCCGUCGAAUACAAAUACAUUCAGUAUCAAUAAGACAUGAAACUAAUUCUAAGAUGUCCUAAAAAGCAAUUUUAAACAUAAAUACGAAAGGCAAAUACAACUACUAUCAAUACAAGGAAAAAACAUGAAUAUCAAAAACAGUUAGCAAAACAUAAAAUCCAAAUUAAUAAAAAGAAAGAGAAAAAAAAAGUGUUUCACCCAUAAAAAAAAAAUGUACCAGCAAGUAAAGUCUCAAGGGUCUUUGUUGAAGAAACUCGACACCUAGCAAUAUCUCCUGAAACCAUAAUCUCUGUUACAACUCUUAGAAACUGACUUUGCAUAAUUCCUCACCGAGUACCUAUCUAUUGAAUCACUGGAGGAACAACCACAAGCCACCAAAUGAAGUUUAGCCCUUCCAAAAUCAAGAUUAUAGCAAGUCAUUUACAUCAUUCUCAAUAGCAACACUCCAAGAAAGCUAAAAAGAAACAAUCUUUUGCUAUCCACUUAAAAUACCCAGAUAGAAAAUAUUGCUCAAUUUGCCAUAUAACUAACAGCCUUGAGAAACAAAUAGAGUAUUCGGCAGGUUGAAAGUGUUUUUUUUUUUUAAAUUGAUUUAAAUUAAUUUUUUGUUUUAUUGUUUUUAAAUUAGUUUGAUGUUUUAUAUGAAUUUUAAAAAAUAAAAAAAAUAUUAUUUUAAUAUAUUUUUAAAUAAAAGUAAUUUGAAAAACAAAAUAAUUGGAGUGUUAAAAAUUUAGAGUAGAGAUUAUUUUUUAAAAUAUUUUUUAUUUAAAAAUACAUUAAAAUAUAUUAAAAAAAUCCUUCAAAAUAACUCAUGAAAACCGAAACUAUCAUUUUGAUUACUAAACAACCGUUCAGUUUCUUUAGAAAAUGAAUUUUUUUAUUCUUUAAAUUUAAAGAUUAAAAUAUAAAUAAAAUAAAUUUUUAGAUCAAAAUUAAAAAUAUUAAAACUAAAGGGACCAAAACAUAAGAAUAAAACAAAUUCAAACACCAAAUUUUUAAAACCCGCUCUUCUUGAAUAGUAAAAAAAAAACUUGCUUUUGUGACUUUGUCUUUAGAGUUGGUCCCUAAAGAUUAAAUUAUUUUUAAACACUAAAAUCAAACUUUAUUCUACCAAAUUGUGAAAUAAUAGAGACCAAAAAAAAAAAUCCUAAGUUAAUUGAAACAAAUAUAUUUUUUUCAAAUAUCAAUAAACAUAAUAUUUAAGAAUAAAAUUAAAAAAAAAUCAAUUACCAAAAAUUAUACAAAAAAAUCUUGAAGAACAUAAAAAUAAAAAAUAAAACUCACUGUUUCAAUCUACAAUAAAAUACUAAGCAGUUUUAGCCUUUUCUUAAUCUUAAGCUGAAUGUUUUCAAGGCACAUCAAGGCCUCUAACUUGUCUUCACAAAGUAGUUAGAUUCGGAUUACGAAAUAGAUGUAUAGGAGGACCUAACCUGGUGGUUCUUCUGAGUUCUGAUCCUGAAUCAAACAACACUUGCUGGUUGCUACUUUACAUCCGAAUUCCCACACUCUCGCGCACUUCUAUCAUAGUUUAUGUUUUGCGCUUUUGAGGUGUAAGUUUGCUGGGAGCUUGCAAUUCAAUUUUGGAUCCUUUAUCAGGAGAUCAGCAAUUAAAUGAGGCCUGACAAAAUUAGGCAAGAAUGUAUGUCAGACCAACUCUUCUGCUUCCUUGCAGCAAUAUAUUUCCAGCAGACAAGUUGCCAGGAAUUACUUCCUGGACCAAGGCUUAGGCAUAGAUGCAGUUGCUAUAGCCUGCAAAUUGACACAAAAUUGUCGUAAGCAUGACAUGAAAAUGUCUUCAUUGUUGCCAGAAGGAUAACGCAUUGCAUCAUACAUGUAGUAGUCCUUACUUGGAUCAGUCUUGACAAUGAGGCCAGAGUCCCUGAAAUCACAAUUCCAGUGGUUCCUUCCCUUACGUUGGUAGUACAGAUUCAUGGCUAUUGAUGCAUGGCUUAUGAGACUAUCCGGAGAAAAGCAAGGGUAACCCUUUUGUAGAAUCUGGCAAUCCACGUGAGAGCAUGCGUAAUUGAUAUUCGCUAGUAAAGUUGCUUGAUCCGACGAUGGCUUGGCCACACACCAAGUUCUCUGCAAUAUUAUUGUCAAAGCAAAUUUCAUGGAAUUAGGACAAUGUACAACCAAAAAUUUACCCAAUUUAAGUUGGAUUCGUUUACUUUCCAUCGUAUGUUUGUGUGAAAAGAGAAGUUGAUAGUUGCUACCUGUUCAUUAGCCAUGACAGAACUUCCACCUGCAAAAAUAUGAACAGAGAAGAAAUCCCAAAAUAAGACCAUUUGCCAUUUAUUGUAGUAAUCAUGAUAAACCCAACACAGAUUUGAGAAGAAACCAACUAAAAUAUACUGUACUUGAGGAAAUAAAAUUUGUCGUGUUUAAAUAGCAUGUGCAACUUUCUUUAAGCUACAAUGAUGGAUGUCCAUGGCUAGAAUUGCCUCGGUGGUAGCUCUUUUCCAUGGCAUUAAUGAUGGCGUAGCCAUAAUGUGGCUCUAACAAUCCUUUUCCUUAUUUAUAUUUUUUUGUUUUCUUUCCUCUUUUCUCUACCCCCUCAAUUCUUGUGGAUGUCCUUAAAAUUUUGAAAUCCAGCCCGACCUUGCAAGUCAACCCGGGACUCAGCUGAUCCAGGGUUGGGUUGAAGAAAAAAUAAAAAAAGUCAUGACCUGAUAUGACCUGGCCGACCCGGCGGGUUGACCCGGCAAAACCCGGUCAAAAACUCAGUUGCAAUCCGUUGAUUUUUUUUUACUAAAACGACGUCAUUUUGAAUUUUUUUAUAAAUAGAGAUUGACUCAGGCGACUCGGUGACCUGGUCAAAACCUGGAACCCGGGCCUUGGACUGGGCCGGAUUUAAAAACUAUGCCUUAAAAAGGAAAAAAAAAACAAUUUUAAUCUACAAUAACUUAUUUAACUUCUUAGAACAAAGCAUAAUCAUGCUUUCAAUGUCAAACCAUGUGAUCAUCAGGAAAAAAAUGAAAAUAUCAUCUAACUUAUAAAUGGAUCUUCAUGCUGAGAUUCUAAUGACUAUUUAUUUAUUUAUUUUAUCUACUCCAACCAACAAUUUGUUUAUUCUCAUGAAUUAAUUAAUUUAAUGACUACAACCGUAAAGAAUCAAAACAAAAGGAAUAUUAGUUUAUGUUGCAUGAAUUAAUGAUAAGGAAAAGGAAUAUUAGUUUAUGCUGAGAUUCUAAUUUGUUUAUUCUCAUGAAUUAAUGAUAUGGAGAUGUCCAUUCAGAAUUGACUUUCUACCACACAAACAAUAAAAAAAUAUCACCCACCCACUUCUAGAAUCAUUGAAACUUGCUUGGAAACAUGACCCCAUUUAUUUGUUGGAAAGUAGUUUUUUUUAAAAAGUAAAUUCCGGGAAAGUGAAUUCCAGGAAAGUGAAUUAUUUUCUGAUGUUUGGUAGUGUAAUGAAAAAUAAGUUGGAAAAAAGUUGGAAAACACUUUCCAGUGUUUGGUUAUGUCAUGAAAAAUAACUUAUUAAUGUUUUAUUUUUCUCAAGUUUAUUAAAAUAAUGAGGAACAAAUCUUACAAAUUAAAAAGUUGAAUGAGAAUGAAAUUGAAAAAAAAUAUAAUUUCAUAAAUUAUCUCAAAUAAAAUAAAUAAUGAUCAAAAUAAUAGAGAUCAAAUUUAAAAAAUAAAAAAAACAUGAAAGAUGAAGAAAUUAAAAUAAUAAUAAUUAACAUUUCAUAAAUUAUUUCAAAUAAAAUAAGUAACAAUCAAAAGAAUGAGGACCAAAUUUGAUACAUAAAAAAUUUCAAUAAAAAAAUAAAAAAGAAAAAACAAAUAACAAUUAUAAUAAUGAGGACCAAAGUUAAUAUAAAAAUUAAAUUUUAAGAGAUAAAAUUGAAAAAUAAAUAUUCAAAACAAAAUAUAUAUAGCAAUCAAAAGUUUGAGGACCAAAUUUGAUAUAAUUAGAAAAUAAUAUGACAUUUCUAAAUUUUUCACAACUUCCGGAAAGUGUUUUCCUCCCAAAUUUUACAGGAAAACACUUUCCUGAAAACCAAGCUAAAUUUUUCUUUGACUGAAAAAUAUUUUCCGUUAAUCAACUUUUCUAAUGGUAAACAAACACAGGAAAGUUUGGAAAGUAGUUUUCCGGAAAGUGAAUUCCGAGAAACAAACAUAGCCGAUAUGUUUUGAAGGCAAUAAUAUUUAAUUGGUCUCUGCGCACAUCACCUGCCCAAAGUCUUCGCCUUAUCUCUCGCUCUCUGAUCCAUUUCUGGAUUUAUUUCUUCGUGUAAAAAUGACAAUAACAGUCACUUCAAUUGUAGUCUCCAUUGUUUAUGUUGCAGUGCUAAGAUGGGCAUGGAGACUUUUGAACUGGGUUUGGUUUCGGCCGAAGAAGGUCGAGAGGUGCUUGAGACAACAAGGUUUUGCAGGCAAGCCUUACAGGCUUUUGUUUGGAGACUGGAAAGAAAGUUCAGAUAUGUUGAAGGAAGCAAGGACCAAACCCAUUGGUUUAUCAGACGCUCUUCUACCUCGUGUCAUGCCCUUCCUCCAUCAACUGGUCAAGGAUUAUGGUAUUUCAACACGCAACCCUUUAUUAUCUCUCUCGUAGAAAAGAUGAUUUUUCUUGCUACUUAAAUAUUUCUCCGAUUUAUUAAGAAAUUCCUUUUGUUUUCAUGGUAUGCGUAUUUGAUCUCUUGGUAGUGUUGGUUUCCUACUGGACAGAACAGUACUAAUUACUAAUAGUUGAAAACAUUGGUUUCCAAGUCAGUAUUGAACUUGUUAUUAGUUGGCUAGAGGUUGUAUAAAUAUAAAUAAAAGAACUUGUAUGUAGAGUAUAGUUAUUUUUGUGUUUUAAAAAUAUUUUAAAAAUAAAUAAAUUUUUUUAUUUUUUACUUUAAAUUAUUUUUUAAAAGAAAUAAAAGAAAUAAAGUCAGUAUUGAACUUCGUGUCAUGCCCUUCCUCCAUCAAGUGGAUCGCAUGUCACCUUUCUAAUGGAUUCUUACCAUGUAGUAUCAUUCUCUCUUUUGAUGCAUGUUACAGGUUACCAUGAUUUUGUAUGAAGUUCUUAGGUUAUACCCGCCAGUAAUUACGCUUAAUCGAGAAGUUCAUGAAGAAAUAAAGCUUGGAAAUUUGCUAUUACCUGCCGGAGUGCAGAUCUCGUUGCCAACAAUCCUCCUUCACCAAGAUCAUGAACUUUGGGGUGAUGAUGCCUCUGAGUUCAAACCAGAGAGGUUUGCUGAAGGUGUUUCAAAGGCAACAAAGAGUCAGGUCUCAUUCCUUCCAUUUGGAUGGGGUCCUCGAAUAUGCGUUGGACAAAACUUUGCUUUGAUUGAAGCAAAAAUGGCUUUGGCAAUGGUUUUACAGCGCUACUCUUUUGAGCUCUCUCCGUCGUAUAUUCAUGCUCCUCGCACAGUCAUAACUCUUCAGCCACAGCACGGUGCUCCAAUGAUAUUACGUAAACUCUAAAAUGUUUAUAUGUGACGGGUAAGAGUUAUCCCAGAGUUAUCCCAGGGUAUAAAGUAGGUUGGAUCUCCCAAUAAACCAAACCAAAAACAAAGCCUCUAGUAUAUAAUAUUAAUCACAACAUUAUAGUACCGUGGGUUGUUUUACUGUAAUCAUAGUAGAUUACUAUAAUAAAAUUACAUAUUUGCUUUUGAGUGGAAAAAAAAAAAGUCUGAUGCGGUGUUUUGAUUUUUUUUCUAUUAGCUCAUUGAUUAUUAAAAAAUUAUUUGGUGUAAUUUUUUUUUUCAUGGUAAAAAGACUUUUACUUUUGGAGUCAACAAAACUUAAAGUUGUUGACUACAGGUUUUUUGUAUUCCUUAUAAAUUUUUAGAUAGGAAAAGUAUUUAUUUAACUUGGAUCAAAAAUUUGUUGGGCUACUGGACGAAGUUUUUUUUUGUUUUUUCAUUAUUCUAAAAGUAUAUUUUUGGCUCUAGAUAAGAUAAAAAAAUCAGGUUUUUAUUUAGGGGUAUUUUUGUAUUUUCACACAGGUUUUUUUUUUUGUAAUUAUCAAGGUCAUACGAGUGGUUUAGUAUUUUCACGUUGAGUUUUUAAUUUUUUAAUCAGAAAAGUUAUUGAUGUGUGGUAAGCACAUACGCUAACGAGUGGAUAAUGUCUGCAUCAUUCAGACGAUAAUGAUGGCUAAACUUGAUAUUUCACACUCUCUUUGGAUGUGCUAUUGUGUUCUUUCCCACCUAAUAUGACAUGAAAUGGCAUAUGAUAAUUGAAUUGUCACUGGUAUUAGUUUUUUUCUCUCUCUCUCCUACCAAGAGUUUAGGGUUAGAUAGCUAGUGUAAGAAAAUACACAAUUAACCGAGCAUAAAAAGGAGUAAAGAAAAAGGGUAGUAACUGAAUAUAUGUAUAAUUAGCUGACAUCACAGCUCAAUGGCUUAGAAGAAAUAUAGAAUGAGUCUCCAGCAGCUUCUCUUCUGCAGGACUUGUCUGAAAUGCAGAAAAUAAUCCUGGCACCCAUAGAGGCUUGUUGCAUAGUAUUUUUCGCUAUAUGCCUCCGCACUCCUUGUAAAUUAUUGUUUUUUGAUCAACUAAUAACUUGUACAACAAGAUGUAUUGCACUAAUGAACCCGUUCGAGAUUGCACAGCACCAUUUCCUCGAGAGCUGAUUGAUAGCUAGGAUCCCCGAGGAAGACAUCUGAGAUUCUGAAUUGCAAGAUCAGCUCUCUCUUUUGCCAAUUCCUGUGCCCUUUCAAUGCCACCACAGUCCAUAACCAACUCAGUAGCUUCAUCAAGAGAACCACUCUCACGGAACUCGGUCUUGAUUAUUUCUCCUAGUUUUGGUGAUUGCUCUAGAGCAAAUAUUACUGGAGCAGUCAGGUUCCCCUUUGCCAGGUCACUGCCAGCUGGCUUCCCCGGCAGCUCUGCUGACUAUGUAAAAUCUAAUAUGUCAUCCACAACUUGGAAGGAUAGACCAAGAUUCUUACCAUAUUCAUACAUUAGCAUGCAAACAUUACUGUCCACCCCACUAAAAAUAGCAGCUCUGUCCACCCCACUAAAAAUAGCAGCUCCUUUGGUACUAGCAGCAAUUAAGGAGGCUGUCUUGUAGUAACUUCAAGAUCACAGUCGAACAAGCUAGAUUCCUGCUUUAUUUCACCCUUUGCAAAAUCCUUGAUAACCUGCCAUUGAGCAAGUACAAUUGUAAAUCAGCUUCAGUUACAUUUUUUUUUAAAUUAAAUAAUAUAUAGCAUAGUGCAAGAACUCCAAGGUUAUAUCCUGGACUAUAAAUACUCGGAUAUACAGAAUGGAGUUGCAGACCUACCGAACUGAUAAGCUUAAUGACUUCAAUAUUUUCAAGAUUUGCUAGGUACCAUGACGAUUAAGCAAACAUAAAGUCCCCAGCCAGUACUGCUACCCUUGUACCAUAGUGUUGAUGAACAGUUUCCUUCCCAACAAAUUAGCAGCAGUGAACUGAAAGUCAGAGAAGGCCUUGCAGUAGGCCCAAAAUUAAAUUAGAAAAAAAAAAAAAUGAAAAUGCAAAAUGCAAAAUGCAAUAAAGUGUGUAAUAGAUAUUUCAGUUUUGCUACUCUACUUGAUGUGAUAAGUAUGAGAUCCAAUGAUCGCACGGUCAGUACCAGUGAUUACUUAACAAUUAGCAUAUUUCCUUCAGUUUUUUAUCUCUGAUUAGGGAGCAAUUAUUUUAACAGUGAAAGUAGUGUAUUACAUCACUUUGGAUGUGCACAUUCAAGCUCAUCUCCAGUCAAUAGGCUCUAGCUUAGUGACUUACAUUGAAAGCAGGCUUCAGCUAUCACUCAUCGAUGACAUACUGACUGAGAAGUAGUGAUGUAUGGCUUAAGAUCUCACUCACCUAUGACAUACUCUCAGAUAAAGUGAUGUCUCUCUUCAGAUUCCCACAAGUUUAUAGGCUUUUAAGAAAGAAAGGAUACAUAUUUCAUUGGAUCUUCAUACAAUACAGUGUUCAAGCCCAUUCAACCAAAUAUUUCUUCACAAUCCCUGCUUGGAAGAAUAAUAGAUAAAUUCAGUUGCUGUUCUUAAGAGAUAUAGGAUUCUAGGGCAAUGAACAAGUCCAAAUAAUCAAAGUUGGCUUCGAAAAAUCAUAAUUUUCAUCUCACAGCUAGGUUGACAAGGUCUAACUAAUAAUUAGGACGUUUAAUCUAUGGUUAGCCAACCCUUUCUAUAUAUAUGUGUAGGACAAUAUACAAUAAAGGACCUCACAACAGUUCGUUGUUUCCCGGAUUUCCAUGAAAUAGGGGUAGAGCCAAUGUACACAAGAUGACCAUCUGUGGAUUUUCAAUCGUCAAUACUGGCAGCCCAAUCAGCAUCUGUGAAACCAUGAAUAGACAAGGGAGAAUCCUGAGUGAUGUGCAGACCAUAGGUUGCUGUAGCCUGGAGGUAAUGCAGGAUUCGUUUAACAGCAGACCAAUGAUCUUCAGUAGGGGUAUGCAUAAAUUGACAUACCUUGUUGACUGCAUAGCAGAUAUCAGGUCUAGUGAAGGUAAGGUAUUGUAAUGCCCUAACAAUCUGUCGAUACCAUAUGGGAUCAGAGUAAAGAGUACCCGGUACAAGUCCUAAUUUGGAGGAGGCAGACAAAGGAGUAUCAAGUGGUUUGCACGAAGUCAUACCUGCGUGUUGGAUGAUGUCCAUGGCAUAUUUAUGUUGGCUUAAUAAGAUACCCAUAGCAGUAGAUUUAAUUUCAAUGCCCAAGAAGAAAUGAACAGAGCCUAAAUCCCGAAGCUUAAAUUCUGAUUGCAGCAAAGUAAUCAAUCUAUGAAACACAGCUGAGUUACUCCCGGUUAAUAAAAUAUCAUCAACAUACACAAGCAGGUAAAUCAUGGCACCAUCGAGAGAGAGAAUAAACAGAGAAGAUCACCAUUGGAUGCUUGAAAUCCAAUAGAGAAUAAAAACUCACUCAACCAGUUGUACCAAGCGCGAGGGGCUUGUUUCAAACCAUACAGAGAUUUAUGGAGACGACACACAUGAGACGGGAGUGCAGGAUCAACAAACCCAGGCGGUUGCGCCAUGUAUACCUUUUCCUGAAGAAUGCCAUUCAGGAAAGCAUUAUGAACAUCCAACUGAUGAAUGGUCCAACCAUAUGAGACAACAAUAGUGAGCACAAGGCGAACCGUUGUAGGCUUAAUCAUUGGACUAAACGUCUCCAAAUAAUCAAUUCCUUCUUGCUGAGUGAAGCCGCGGGCAACUAACCGUGCUUUAUAUCGGGUGACCUGACCAUCAGCAUGUCUUUUAAUCUUGUAAACCCAUCUACUGCCAAUCGCAUUCAUAGACGGAUGGGGGGGCACCAACAACCAAGUCUGAUUAGAGUAAAGUGCCCGAAGCUCCUCCUGCAUGGCAGUGUGCCAAGUCACAUACCUGUUGGCGUCCUUAAAUGUCAAUGGUUCCUGCUAAGGUAAGGUCGCGACUCGUGAGACAGCCAUAUGUUAAGAUUGGCAUUUUUUUCUGGAUGCGGGCGAAGCACCAUAAGAUGGGUGCGAGCCCGCUGAGAUGGAGAAGAGACAGUGGCAGGGAUAUGCUGAAGAUUGAAUUUAGACAGAUCAACACAUACGUUAAUUCCACGAGGGGAAAUAGAGGAAGAACCUGCGGUUGAAGGACUCAAUAUAGGCGCAGACCGUGAGGGAGACCCAACAGAAGAAACGCCCAUAAUAGGGGAGCUAGCAGCAACGUUGGGCAACGCCUAUGAGUGUGACGAAUCUGAACCUGCAGUUGAAGAAUGAUCAUAAUAACAUGCAGAUAAUGGUAAGUGAGCCGAAGGAGGUGUAGGGAGUGUAGAGGGCAGUGGUGAAGGAACUGGAGAGGGUGGCAUGAGAGGAUGUAAAGUGACGGGUAUAGAGAGAGCAGAGGGCUGUUUGGGUGUUGCUGCCAUCUGUUCAGUUUUAUCAAGAGGAAAAAUAUUUUCAUGAAAUCGGACAUGACGAGCAAGAUAAAUUUGUUUGGACGACAAAUCAAAACAUCGAUAACCGAGAUGAGAGGUACUAUAUCCUAGAAAAACACAAGGAGUUGACCGAAAAUCUAACUUGUGAGCAUUGUAUGGACGAAGAAAAGGAAAAUAUAGACACCCGAAAGUAUGAAGAAACGCAUAAUCAGGAGUCGAUUUUAGAAGACAUUCAAACAGUGUCUUAUGAUUAAGAACUGGAGUGGGCAUGCGAUUAGUCAAAUAAAUAGAACUUUCAAAAGCAUAACUCCAAUAUUUAAAGGGAGCGUGACACUGCCUAAGAAGAGUAAGUCCAGUUUCAACAAUAUGUCUAUGACGGCGUUCAACCAUGCCAUUUUGUUCAUGAGCGUGCGGGCAGAUCACACGAUGAUGAAUACCAAUCGUUUUAAAAUAUGUAUUUAGUUUUCAAUAUUCACCACCCCAAUCGGUUUGAACAGACUUAAUUUUUAAGGAGAAUUGGCGCUCCACAAGCGUCUGAAACUGAUGAAUAAUUGCAAAAACAUCAGACUUAGCAACUAAAGGAUAAAACCAUAUAAAUUUCGUAUGAGCAUCCACAAAAAUAACAAAAUAGCGAAAACCAUCAGAGGACAAUAUAGGGGAUGGACCCCAAACAUCACUAAAAAUCAAGUCAAGAGGAGCUCGAGUUUGAUGACCCGUAGUUUUUAGAGUCAGACGUGACGACUUGCCCAAAGGGCACGCAAGAUAAUAAAAAUUAAACUGAGUGGACGUACAUGACACUUUAUUUUUCACCCAUAAAUGCAAAAUACGUGGACUAGGAUGCCCAAGGCGACGAUGCCAGACAUCAACUGAAGUAGAUAGACAGGUAGAGGAGAAAGCUUGAGGCAACGAUGUUGCGGAUGACGCGGACAAAACAUAUAGACCAUCUCUACUCUUACCGGAAAGAAGAACUUCCUUUAUCAUGAGAUCCUUAACAUAAAAUAGAGAGGAAUGAAAUUCAAAAAAGACGUUAUUCUUAAGACAAAAUUUUUAAACAGAUAUCAGAGGUUUUUGAAUGGCAGGAACAUGUAAAAUAUUGGAUAAAGUAAACUUGCGGUUUAGUGAGCGAAUUUUAUAGUGAGCAAUAUUUGAGAUAACAAGGCCUUUACCAUCACCAACAUGCAGAUGAUCAUUUCCAAGAUAAGGUUCUGAACUCGUCAUACUAACAAGGUCCAGCGUGACAUGAUGAUUUGCACCUGUAUCAAGAAACCAAGUAACAAGAGUAGUGGUAGAGGCAGUAUUAAAUGCGAGAUUAACAUUAGCUUGCAUAUGAUGAGUAGCCAACCGAGAACAUUGUUGAGCAGUAUGCCCAUAUUCAUAACACAACUGACAUUUUAUAUUGCGAGUAUAACCACCAAAACGAUUUCCUUGCUGCCCAAAACUACCUGUUGGCCGUGAGGAAGGACUAGAGGAGAACCAAUUUCCAUUUUGGCUAGAUUGUUGACCCGAAACAUAACUGUGAGCUGGUCCAUUGCCACGAUAAUAAUUGCUGCGAUUGUUAGGUCUCCAGCCCCCACGAAAACGACCCCAUCUACCAGGUUGAUGCUACACAAAGAACGCAGGUGGCUGCUGCGUUGGAGUUGGUAACAGAGGAGCUGUUACAGAUGGCUGGAGAGAGGCUUUGUGAAGAAACUCAUGUGUAAGAAGGCUGCUAUGGAGAUUAGUGUAGGUGAUGGGAGCAUGCUUAGUGGACAAGCUGGUGACAAGAUCCUUAAACUCACUGCGUAACCCUUGAAAUACAUACAAGUUGAAUUAUGCCAAGGAGAUUGGUCUGCUAGCGGCAACAAGUUCAUCAAACAAGGCCUUUGCCUUCUGCAAGUAAAUGCUGGCAGAAUCAUCAUUUUGUCGUAAAUCCUGGAAUGAGCCAUGGAGCUAUAUAAUUCUGAAAUUUGAGGGAGAGGCAAGAGCUGUUUCCAGAGUUGUCCAGAUGGCAUUAGAGGUGUUACAAUCCACAAAGUGUAGAACUUCCACCGAGAGAGAAGAUAGGAGGGCACUCAUGAUUAAGUGAUCUUGCUGCUCCCAUGACAAAUAUGCAGGGUUGAUAGAGAGUGUAGAUGUCUCAGCAGAUGCUAGAUGUGAAGGGGGACAUGGUGAUGUGCCAUCAACAAAGGAAUACACGCCUUGGCCCAAGAGAAACGGUUUCAUCUGCAUCCUCCAAUACAGGAAAUUAUGGUUGGAGAGUUUUAAAGAGACUACCUGGUGUGUGUUAGGAAGAAGGAUAUUUAUAGAAUGUGUUAAGUUGUGCCUUAGCCAACCUUCCUAUUUAUAUAUAUGUGGCAGAACACAGCAAUAACUGUAGGGAUUACAACAUUGGAAUAAUCCUAUAUUAUUUUUCUAUUCUGAUAUAUACAAGCUAUACAUUCUAUAAUAAGGGAUAAUGGAGGCAGUAUGGGAUGCGCCAUACAUAACUGAUUGCACCACAAGGGAGAAAGAAGAUUGAAGAGCUGAUGCAGCGGCAACAGACUGUUGAAGUUCUUGAUUGUCCAUGUUGCUAGGGAGAAGUUGCAGUUUUGAUUUCCUGGAUGCUUGAUGAGAAGUAACAGAGGAAGAAGAUGAAUGAUCUCUACUAAGAAGAAACUGCUGCUGGCGAAUAUAAUUAGUUGCAGUUUUAUUAAUUAAUCUAAUGACUACAACCGUAAAGAAUCCAAACAAAAGGAAUAUUAGUUUAUGUUGCAUGAAUUAAUGAUAAGGAAAGGGAAUAUUAGUUUAUGCUGAGAUUCUAAUUUGUUUAUUCUCAUGAAUUAAUGAUAUGGAGAUGUCCAUUCAGAAUUGACUUUCUACCACACAAACAAUAAAAAAAUAUCACCCACCCCCUUCUAGGAUCAUUGAAACUUGCUUGGAAAGAAAUGUUUGAAGGCAAUAAUAUUUAAUUGGUCUCUGCGCACAUCACCUGCCCAAAGUCUUCGCCUUAUCUCUCGCUCUCUGAUCCAUUUCUGGAUUUAUUUCUUCGUGUAAAAAUGUCAAUAACAGUCACUUCAAUUCUAGUCUCCAUUGUUUAUGUUGCAGUGCUAAGAUGGGCAUGGAGGGUUUUGAACUGGGUUUGGUUUCGGCCGAAGAAGGUCGAGAGGUGCUUGAGACAACAAGGUUUUGCAGGCAAGCCUUACAGGCUUUUGUUUGGAGACUGGAAAGAAAAAUCAGAUAUGUUGAAGGAAGCAAGGACCAAACCCAUUGGUUUAUCAGACGCUCUUCUACCUCGUGUCAUGCCCUUCCUCCAUCAACUGGUCAAGGAUUAUGGUAUUUCAACACGCAACCCUUUAUUAUCUCUCUCGUAGAAAAGAUGAUUUUUCUUGCUAGUUAAAUAUUUCUCCGAUUUAUUAAGAAAUUCCUUUUGUUUUCUAUAAGGCGCCAAUGAUUGAGAAAUUAAAACCACUGUGCUGGCCGAAUGUUUCAGCCGAUUUUCUUAUUUUAUUUCAUUUUAUAGUGCUCUUGUGGACUACUCUCGCCUCAAACCUAGUUUUCUAUCAAUGGGAGAAAAAUAUAUAGAUUAAAUUAAUUACUUCUUAAUUAUAGUUUUAGAGAGUUAUAAUAUUUUUAAAACAGACCAAGUGGGUAUUAAUUUUCAAUAUUCAUGGUAUGCGUAUUUGAUCUCUUGGUAGUGUUGGUUUCCUACUGGACAGAACAGUACUAAUUACUAAUAGUUGAAAACAUUGGUUUCCAAGUCAGUAUUGAACUUGUUAUUAGUUGGCUAGAGGUUGUAUAAAUAUAAAUAAAAGAAUUUAAUAUCGUAUGUUUAUUUUUACAUUUCAAAAAUAUUUUUGAAAAAAAUUAAAAAAUUAAAUUUUUUACUUCAAAUUAAUUUUUUGGUGUUUUUAGAUCGUUUUGAUGUCAAAAUAAAUUUUAGAAAAUGAAAAAAUAUUAUUUUGAUUUAUUUUUAAAUGAAAAAACACUUUAAAAAACAACCGAUAUCACAAUAUCAAACAGGUUCUGAGAAUAUCUAGUGUGGUCGAAAACUAAUAGUAUUGUGUGCGUGGAGGAACAAGAAAAAAAAAAGAAGAAGAGUAAAUUGUGACUGUGUUUAUUGAAUGGAUAAUAAUAGUAUAUAGGUUGCAUGUGAUAAUCUAGAUGGUGUAUAAUGGGUGCAUAGUGAUUAGUUUAGGUUGUGUAUAAUAUAACCUAUUCGUGUUGUGAGGGUACAAUUGUGUAGUUGUGUGGGGUAACUUGAUUAUUUUAUGAUUCAAAAAUCAGAUUCUAAAUGUUGAUUUAUAUUUAACAAAAUUAAUACUUUUGUAUUUAUCUAGGUAUAUUAAAAGAAUCAUAACUUUACGUUUUCUUGCAUGUUAAAGUAAAGUUGCAUCUAGAGAAGAUUAUACUUUGUCAACUCUAUUGAGGUGUUCAUAAAAAUAUAAAAAUCUAUUAGAAAAAGAAAUAAAAAUUCUCUUACAAGAAUUUUACCUUAUAGUGUGAAGUGCAAUUUUUUCUGGGUUUGGAUUUCUUUUGUUCAUAUCUCAAUUUGAGCCUCGUGUAUUUCCCUCAACAGAAGAAUAUAUAUAUAUAUAUAUUUUGAUUAAUAAGUAUGCUUCCUCUGACGAUGCAGGUAAGAAUUCAUUUAUGUGGGUUGGGCCGAAACCAAGAGUGAACAUCAUGAACCCUGAUCAGAUAAAGGACGUAUUCAUGAAGAUAAAUGAAUAUCAGAAGCCCUCGCACCCGCUGUUGAAACAUCUAGCAUGUGGACUUGGAAGUCACGAGGGUGAAAAUGGGCUAAACAUAGAAAGAUAAUCAACCCAGCAUUCCAUCAAGAGAAGCUAAAGGUGAUCAUGAUAGUCUCAACUUAUUUGCCUAUAAGCAUCCAUGCUAUUCGAUUGCCUUGAAUGAGUAUAAAAAUGAUAGCAUGUUGUGCUCUCAUAUAUAUAGCUGUAGUAUAAAACUUUCGAUGAUGAUAUAUUCUGUUUUACAGCUUAUGAUACCUGCGUUUUCCGAAAGUUGUAGCGGGAUGAUUAACAAGUGGGAGAAGCUGGUCUCUGUAGACGAGGGCUCAUGUGAAUUGGAUGUCUGGCCUGAUCUUCAAGGCUUAACAUGUGAUGCUAUUUCUCGAACGUCGUUUGGAAGUAAUUACGAAGAAGGAAAAAGAAUAUUUGACCUCCUCAAGGAACUUACCGAUCUUACAGUUCAUUUUAUAAUAAAAGCAAUUGUCAUACCAGGGUACAGGUAACUCUUUAUUCUGUUUUUGCUGGACAUUACAAUUCAGUUCCUUCAAGUUAGUCCUUGUUCAAUGAGAUAUAUCUUAAAAGUAAGAAGCAGAACAAAUCCAAAUCUCUUGACAACAUGUUCAUGGAUUGCAUGUAGGUUUCUGCCGAUCCCAUCUAAUAGAAGGCUAAAAGCUAUUGACAAAGAAAUAAAAGCUUCUCUUAAUGCUCUCAUCAACAAAAGAGAGCAAGCAAUGAGUGCUGGUGAAGAUGCAAAGAAUGACUUGUUGGGUUUACUUCUGGAAUCCAAUUUUAGAGAAAUACAAGAGCAUGGAAAUACCAAGAGCGUCGGAAUGAGCAUUGAAGAUGUGAUUGAUGAAUGUAAAAUAUUCUACGUUGCUGGACAAGAAACAACCUCAGUUCUUCUUACCUGGACCAUGGUUUUAUUGGCUCAGUAUCCGAAUUGGCAAGCACGCGCAAGAGAAGAGGUUGUGCAAGUCUUUGGUAACAAAAAACCAGAUUUCGAUGGGCUAAAUCACCUUAAAGUUGUGAGUAUUUCUCUGCAUUUGCAACUGAAUUCUUCUACAUCAAUAUUGUCUUGUUAUUGUUAAGAACACAGAGCAUUCUUGCAUUUAAAAUGCAAGCUUAGGUAUCCUUUGAAGAAAAAGUAAGAUAGCAGAAAAAAAAACGUUCAUGUUUUCUUUCGUUGAAUUAUUAAUCGGCCAAAAUGACGAGGAAAAACAACCAACAGAUGAGUACGCAAGCAAGCUAGGAGGUGACAUCUAUAUACAUUAAGAAUGAGAUUUACUAGCUCUUGGAUCAACAUAAAGAUUCUCAAUUUAGUAAGUUGAAAUGGCAUGCAAAUGAUCUCUAUAUAUGCGAUAUUUUAUUUUAUCAAAGUGGAUCGCAUCACCUUUUUAAUGGAUUCUUACCAUGUAGUAUCAUUCUCUCUUUUGAUGCAUGUUACAGGUUACCAUGAUUUUGUAUGAAGUUCUUAGGUUAUACCCGCCGGUAAUUAUGCUUAAUCGAGAUGUUCAUGAAGAAAUAAAGCUUGGAAAUUUGCUAUUACCUGCCGGAGUGCAGAUCUCGGUGCCAACAAUCCUCCUUCACCAAGAUCAUGAACUAUGGGGUGAUGAUGCCUCUGAGUUCAAACCAGAGAGGUUUGCUGAAGGUGUUUCAAAGGCAACAAAGAGUCAAGUCUCAUUCCUUCCAUUUGGAUGGGGUCCUCGAAUAUGCGUUGGACAAAACUUUGCUUUGAUUGAAGCAAAAAUAGCUGUGGCAAUGGUUUUACAGCUCUACUCUUUUGAGCUCUCUCCGUCGUAUAUUCAUGCUCCUCGCACAGUCGUAACUCUUCAGCCACAGCAUGGUGCUCCCAUGAUAUUACGUAAACUCUAAAAUGUUUAUAUGUGACGGGUAAGAGUUAUCCCAGGGUAUAAAGGAGGUUGGAUCUCCCAAUAAACCAAACCAAAAAGAAAACCUCUAGUUUAUAAUAUUAUGUGCAAAUUAUGUUAUGAUGUCCAAUGACAUAUUUGUCAUAUUAAUCACAACAUUAUAGUACCGUACGUGGGUUGUUUUGCUGUAAUCAUAGUAGAUUACUAUAAUAAAAUUGCAUAUUUUCUUUUGAGUGGAAAAAAAAAACCUACUCGAGGAUGAGGAUGGGGUGUUUUGAUCUUAUCUACUAGCUCAUUGAUUAUUAAAAAAUUAUUUGGGGUGUAAAUUUUUUUUUUUUUAAACGGUAUAAAAACUCUUUUAUUCCCGGAGUCAACAAAACUUAGAGCUAUUGACUAAAUGUAUUUUUUAUGUUUUGAUUUUUUUAUAAAUUUUUAGAUAUUUCUUUACUAAGAUCAAAAAAUUUUAGGGCUAUUAGAUAAGGGUUUUUUUUUGUUUUUCUAUUAUUCAUAUGUAAUAAAAGUAUAUUUUUGGCCCUAAGACAAAAAAUCAGGUAUGUAUUUAGGAGUAUUUUUGUAUUUUUGUCCAGAACCACCACAGUAGCUUCAUCAAGAGAACCACUCUCACGGAACUCGGUCUCGAUUAUUUCUCUGUACUGGAGCAGUCAGGUUCCUCUUUGCCAGGUCACUGCCAGCUGGCUUCCCCGGCAGCUCUGCUGACUGUGUAAAAUCUAAUAUGUCAUCCACAACUUGGAAGGAUAGACCAUGAUUCUUACCAUAUUCAUACAUUAGCAUGCAAACAUUACUGUCCACGCCACUAAAAAUAGCAGCUCCUUUGGUACUAGCAGCAAUUAAGGAGGCUGUCUUGUAGUAACUUCAAGAUCACAGUCGAACAAGCUAGAUUCCUGCUUUAUUUCACCCUUUGCAAAAUCCUUGAUAACCUGCCAUGAGCAAGUACAAUUGUAAAUCAGCUUCAGUUACAACUUUUUUUUAAAUUAAAUAAUAUAUAGCAUAGUGCAAGAACUCCAAGGUUAUAUACUGGACUAUAAAUACUCGGAUAUACAGAAUGGAGUUGCAGACCUACCGAGCUGAUAAGCUUAAUGAUUUCAAUAUUUUCAAGAUUUGCUAGGUACCAUGACGAUUGAGCAAACAUAAAGUCCCCAGCCAGUACUGCUACCCUUGUACCAUAGUGUUGAUGAACAGUUUCCUUCCCAGCAAAUUAGCAGCAGUGAACUGAAAGUCAGAGAAAUUAAAUUAGAAACAAAAAACAAAAUGCAAAAUGCAAAAUGCAAUAAAGUGUGUAAUAGAUAUUUCAGUUUUGCUACUCUACUUGAUGUGAUAAGUAUGAGAUCCAAUGAUCGCGCGGUCAGUACCAGUGAUUACUUAGCAUAUUUCCUUCAGUUUUUAAUCUCUGAUUAGGGAGCAAUUAUUUUAACAGUGAAAGUAGUGUAUUACAUCACUUUGGAUGUGCACAUUCAAGCUCAUCUCCGGUCAAUAGGCUCUAGCAUAGUGAUUUACAUUGAAAGCAGGCUUCAGCUAUCACUCAUCUAUGACAUACUGACAGAUAAGUAGUGAUGUAUGGCUUAAGAUCUCACUCAUCUAUGACAUACUCUCAGAUAAAGUGAUGUCUCUCUUCAGAUUCCCACAAGUUUAUAGGUUUUUAAGAAAGAAAGGAUACAUAUUUCAUUGGAUCUUCAUACAAUAUCGUGCACAAGCCCAUUCAACCAAAUAUUUCUUCACAAUCCCUGCUUGGAAGAAUAAUAGAUAAAUUCAGUUGCUGUUCGUAAGGGAAAUAGGAUUCUAGGGCAAUGAACAAGUCCAAAUAAUCAAAGUUGGCUUCAAAAAAUCAUAAUUUUCAUCUCACAGCUAGGUUGACAAGGUCUAACUAAUAUGCGAGCCUGUUGGUCAUCCAUCUAUUAGAACCCUUCUCUCUUCAGCCUUGGACUGGCUCUGCAAAACUCUAAACAGGGCAAAUGGAAUUAAAACUUAUAAUCCUUGGAUACAUUUCAUGAAGCUUUUAUAUUUAAAUCUUUGCAUAUGUCUAGAAAUACUCAUUUAGAAAUUCUCCAAAUGAAGCUAAUUUAGGGAGCACAACCAUGAUAUAUGUUCUAUAAACUGAUCUUUUAGUUACAGUAAGACACAAGACCUUAUCCAAUACAGAUUAUAAAGCUGAUAACCGGAUUGAGUAUUCUUUCCAUCAAGCAUGCUGUACAAGAAUAUCUGUAAGCAUAUUACAAUAACCAAAUAGAGUUUGUUGUCUGUUACCAUUCCACAGCUACAAAGACCUCAGCGCUAUACAAAUACUAAGAAUAGAGCAUGCAAACUGUAAGUGGGCGUUGGUGACUAACAUUAGAUCCUUGUUCACUGUAAGUUUUAAAAUAGCUUGGGUUUUUUCAAUAAGCAUGUGUUGGUGAAUGAUGCAGUGACAUUAAUGAGAUUUUUCAAGUUGCUUUGAUGUGAAAUUCGAAAUCCUACCUCUUCACAUGUCACUUUCAUCCAAUACAUCGUCAUGUAUUAAACUUGCAGUGUGGAUCAUCUCAAUAAUCUCUGCUAAACGCCGAUGUUCAGUUGUAAGUUCCCUGCAAAGCAGAAAUGCAAUAUAAUUUUUCUAUUCCAUUCAGCACCAUACGAAGCCCUUAAAAUACUGGAUAAAACUUACUUCAACCCGACUACUUCUGCCGUGGCUCUUGACACUAGAAAGACCAGAGCUGGUCACAUUCUCUUCCCACCAGCACCAAAUUUCUGCUCAGCUCCAGACAUCAAAACCGUAUUUUCUGCAGCAACAAUCUACCAGAGCAUCUUCAUCAGAAAUAUAAAAGGCUGGAUAUAAAGAACAAGAAAAAACUAUUCUGAUCCAGUGCAAAAAGGUACAUGACUCAUCAAUAUAGAGGGUAAUAGAUAAUAGAAAACACACAAGUAGAACAUGGAAGCAGGUAGAAGUUCUUAUGCAGUGGCCCUCUUUUGUGAACUCAUCUUGUGCCAAAAUAACCUUGUUUACUUGUACUUAAGUACAGAUUCAGUGCUGAAUUUAAAUUUUUACGCACUACCGCUAUGCCAACUUAUAUCAACUCAGAACAUUUGAGGUGGUCUAUCAGCUAACCACUAGUUAAUAUAUUGGUAAAAGUUCAUUCUUCAUUGAUCUACUAGGACAUAUUCUGUUAGGAAAUCAAACACACAUCAAAUUUACGUGGUUCGGCAACUUGCCUACUCUACGGAGCUACUGGUUUGUAUUAAUCAAUCAAAGAAACAAUACAAACAAGGAGGAGGAGAAAAACACUCUUCUCUACUCAACUCACUUUCACUCAAGCUCUCUCUAUCUUCUUCUGUCUGUUCUGCCGCACACCCUCAGCUCUUCAAUGUGUCUAUUUAUAGACUAAGCUGGGAAUAAAAGAUCAUGGUCACCAUGAACUUCCACUUUGUGCUAAGUGGGAGAUGAGUUGUUCCCACUAACAUAUAGUGGAGGUAGGGCAUUGUUUGUCUCUAUUAUUCUAACAAUCUUCCACUUGAAGACAAACAAUGAAAUUAUCUUUUAUCCUUGAAGACCAACUGAAGUUUUACACAAUUUCAGUUUAUCAAGUGUAACUCCUUUGGUUAACAUGUCAGCUGGAUUCUUGCUCCCACAGACCUUUUCUAACAUUAGUUGCUCAUUGUCCAGCAAUUGUCGGAUGAAGUGAUAUUUGAUCUGAAUAUGCUUAGUCCUGGAGUGAAAUGCUGGAUUCUUGGCAAGGAAGAUUGCACUCUGACUGUCGCUAUACAAAGUACCCUUUCCAUUCAUCUUGCCCAAUUCUUUUAGGACACUCUGUAGCCAUACUAUCUCUUUUGCAGAUUCUGAAACUGUAACAUAUUCAGCUUCUGUUGUUGAAAGAGCGACGAUAUUUUGCAAGGUAGAACUCCAGGAAACAGCAGUACCUCCUAGAGUAUAUACAUAUCCUAUAGUGCUCUUUCUACUAUCAAUAUCUCCUGCUAGAUCAGUGUCUACAAAACCCUCAAGUUUCAAACCACCAGCUUUGAAACUGAGACAAGUUUCCGGGGAACCUUUUAAGUACCUCAUGAUCCAUUUUACCGCCUUCCAAUGCUGCUUUCCAGGAUUGCUCAUAUAUUAGCUUACAACUCCCACUGCAUGGGCAAUGUCUAAUCUGGUACAGACCAUAGCAUACAUCAAAGAGCCGAUAGCUGAGGCAUAUGGAAUCUUAUCCAUGUAUCUAUAUUCUAGCUCAGUUUUUGGUGACUGGUCUUUGCUGAGCUUGAAAUGAUUCCCCAUAGGUGUACUUACUGGUUUAGCAUUAUCCAUAUUAAACCUGCUGAGAACCUUCUUGACAUACUCUGUUUGUAAAAGCUUUAGUAUGCCUUUGUCUUUAUCUCUAAUGAUUCUCAUGCCAAGUAUUUGUUUAGCAGCUCCCAGAUCCUUCAUUUCAAACUAUUUUGACAACUGUUGUUUCAACUUGUCAAUCUCCUCAAUGCUGGAUCCUGCAAUCAGCAUAUCAUCCACAUAUAAUAGUAGAAUGAUGUAGGAGUUGUCAAAAUGUUUGACAUAGCAACAAUGAUCAGCUUGGCAUCUUGUGUACCCCGAACUACACAUGAAGUUGUCAAACUUCUUGUACCACUGUCUUGGAGCUUGCUUCAAACCGUAUAGACUUUUCUUUAGCUUGCAGACUUGGUUCUCCUUUCCUUGUAUUGCAAACCCCUAUAGCUGUUGCAUGUAAAUGUCUUCCUCCAAGUUACCAUGAAGAAAUGCUGUUUUUACAUCUAAUUGUUCAAGAUGUAAAUUUUCUGCAGCUACUAUCCCCAGAACAAUUCUGAUUGUUGUGAGCUUCACAACUGGAGAAAAUAUCUCAGAGUAGUCAACCCCUUUCUUUUGUUGAAAUCCUUUUACAACAAGUCUUGCUUUGAACCGUUUGCUUCAGGUGGUUGGUUCUUCGCCGGAGUUUCACCAGUGGGUUGCUCUCGUUUUCCCUUACACGAUGGUAUGUAUAAAAACACAUUUUGAUAACUUUGAUUUCUGGGUUUGGAUCCAACACCCUCUUUUUCAAGAACAAGCUCUGAUACCAGUUGUUAGGAAAUUCCAGAAAUCAAACACACAUCAAAUUUACGUGGUUCAACAACUUGCCUACUCCACGGAGCUACUGGUUUGUAUUAAUCAAUCAAAAAAACAAUACAAACAAGGAGGAGGUGAAAAACACUCUUCUCUACUCAACUCACUUUCACUCAAGCUCUCUCUAUCUUCUUAUGUAUGUUCUGCCGCACACCCUCAGCUCUUCAAUGUGUCUAUUUAUAGACUAAGCUGGGAACAAGAGAUCAUGGUCACCAUGAACUUCCACUUUGUGCUAAGUGGGAUGAGUUGUUCCCACCAUGUGCUUCCACUUUGUGCUAAGUGGGAGAUGAGUUGUUCCCACUAGCAAAUAGUGGAGGUGGGGCAUUGUUUGUCUUCAUUAUUCUAACAUAUUCUACUACAAGCAAACAUUGACUAUUUACUGAUUAAGCAUCAUCCUAACAUUCAGAUAAAUCAUAAUGCAUCUUUCUAUGGAAUGAAGAUGAAUGAGCAUGCACUUGAGCCAGGAACCAAAUUCUUGAGGAAGAGACUGAGGAAGAAGAGCCAAUUCCCAGCAAAAUAAAUUACAUACAAGGAUAACUACCACAGUCACAGACUAACACAACAAUUCAAGAUGGCAUUUUGAAGCAAAACCACAUCCGUAUUCCAAGAAUCAACAAAUCAUUAUUGGCAUGGAAAAACUCAAUAGCACAAUAGCAAUAACUACGUCCUAACAUAUGUCUAACUACACAAUAUCUAACAUGUAUUAACUACUCAAUAACAAAUAUCUAAAAAGGGCACUCACCGACCGGAGAUUUUGCUUAAGAGUCUAAAGAUCAGCAGCAACCACUUCAAACAUAUUUGUUAAUGAAACUGGUUCUCUUGACUCUUUCUUCAAAUUCAGAAGUACUGUGGGACCUUCAGCAACCCCUGUAUCAAGCCAAAAAUGAACAAAAAUACCAACAUUUCAAGCAUUACAACAUAUUAAAUCAAUGGCAGGUGCUUUAUUGAUGGAGACCAAGCACUUAAAUGUUAUGUUAAGUAAAUGGAUUCACCAGAAUCAUAAUGAAUUAGGAAAGCACUAAACUGUGGUCAACAAAGAAAUGGUUAAUGAAUGGCAACGACUUGCAAGGAUUGACUUGGCGGCCAUUUGUGUCUGAUCGUUAGGGCUCUCAAACUCCAACAGCGCACCGUAUCAAGGUAAGGAAAUUUUCCAAAUUAAUGUAAAGAUUUAGACUGGAAGAAUAAUUCUUUUAUAUUGAAAAUAAGUUGAAAACACAAGACACUGAAAAGAAGGAUUGAUAAAAAUUAGUGAGACAUCUUUGCAAGAUGGGUCCGAGCCGCAGAAUAUGGCACUGAUGAAUCAUAGUGUUCUUUUGGAGGACAGUGCCUUCUGUACAAGUUGUUUCGCAAUUCAGAGUGGCUCUCUCGGUGAGCUUCGUACUCUAUGAGAAUAAAUAUGCGCACAUCAUUAACAAAUAUUGAUAUUUCUACUAAUUUGUACAUUUAUUUUAUUUACAAGAAAGGGUCGUCGAAUGCAACUACACCACCCAAAACUUGCCCUGUCGGCAAUCUCAUUUCUUCACAGAACUAGGAAAGGCAGGGGUCUUUGUUGAAGAAACUCAACACCUAGCAAUAUCUCGCCGGCAACAAACCAUUCUCCUGGAACCAUAAUCCCUGUUACAACUCUUAGAAACUGACUUUGCAUAAUUCCUCACCGAAUACCUAUCUAUUGAAUCACUAGAGGAGCAGCCACAAGCCACCAAAUGAAGUGUAGCCCUUCCAAAAUCAAGAUUACGGCAAGUCAUUUACAUCAUUCUCAAUAGCAACACCCCAAGAAAGCUAAAAAGAAACAAUGUUUUGCUAUCCAAUUAAAAUACCCAGAUAAAAAAUAUUGCUCAAUUUGUCAUAUAACUAACAGCCUUGAGAAACACAUAGAUUACUCGGCAGGUUGAAAGUGUUUUUUUUUUUUAAAUAAUUAUUAUUUUUUUAAAUUAAUUUUUUGUGUUAUUGUUUUUAAAUUAGUUUGAUUUUCUAUAUAAAUUUUAAAAAAUAAAAAAAUAUUAUUUUAAUAUAUUUUCAAACAAAAAUAUUUUAAAAAUAAUUUUUAUCACUCUCUUAAAUAUUUUUAAUAAAACAAUUGCAAUUGCAAUUUUAUAGUGAUUAUUUUUUAAAAUAUUUUUUAUUCAUAAAUACAUCAAAAUAUAUUAAAAAAAUACCUUAAUAUAACCCAUGAACACCAAAAACUAUGAUUUGAUCACCAAACAACCAUUCAAUUUCUUUAUCUUUUUUAUUUUUUGAUGAUUUUUUUAUUCUUUAAAUUUAAAGAUUAAAAUAUAAAUAAAAUAAAUUUUUAGAUUAAAAUUAAAAAUAUUAAAACUAAAGGGACCAAAACAUAAAAAUAAAACAAAUUCAAGCACCUAAUUUUUAAAACCCGUUCUUCUUGUAUAGUGGAAAAAAAAACUUGCUUUUGUUUUUAGAGUUGAUCCCUGAAGAUUAAAUUAUUUUUAAACAAUAAAAUCAAACUUUAUUCUACCAAAUUGUGAAAUAAUAGAGACCACACAAGAAAUCCUAAGUUAAUUGAAACAAAUUUUUUUUUUUCAAAUAUCACUAAACAUAAUAUUUAAGAAUAAAAUUAAAAAAAAAAUCAAUUACCAAAAAUUAUACAAAAAAAUCUUGAAGAACAUAAAAAUAAAAAAUAAAACUCACUGUUUCAAUCUACAAUAAAAUACUAAGCAGUUUUAGCCUUUUCUUAAUCUUAAGCUGAAUUUUUUCAAGGCACAUCAAGGCCUCUAACUUGUCUUCACAAAAAAUCAGCUUGAGGACCUAACCUGGUGGUUCUUCUCAGUUCUGAUCCUGAAUCAAACAACACUUGCUGGUUGCUACUUUGCAUCCGAAUUCCCACACCCUCGCGCACUUCUAUCAUAGUUUAUGUUUUGGGCUUUUGAGGUGUAAGUUUGCUGGGAGCUUGCAAUUCAAUUUUGGAUCCUUUAUCGGGAGAUCAGCAAUUAAAUGAGGCCUGACAAAAUUAGGCAAGAAUGUAUGUCAGACCAACUCUUCUGCUUCCUUGCAGCAAUAUAUUUCCAGCAGACAAGCUGCCAGGAAUUACUUCCUGGACCAAGGCUUAGGCAUAGAUGCAGUUGCUAUAGCCUGCAAAUUGACACAAAAUUGUCGUAAGCAUGACAUGAAAAUGUCUUCAUUGUUGCCAUGCAUCAUACAUGUAGUAGUCCUUACUUGGAUCAGUCUUGACAAUGAGGCCAGAGUCCCUGAAAUCACAAUUCCAGUGGUUCCUUCCCUUACAUUGGUAGUACAGAUUCAUGGCUAUUGAUGCAUGGCUUAUGAGACUAUCUGGAGAAAAGCAAGCGUAACCCUUUUAUAGAAUCUGGCAAUCCACGUGAGAGCACGCGUAAUUGAUAUUCGCUAGUAAAGUUGCUUGAUCCGACGAUGGCUUGGCCACACACCAAGUUUUCUGCAAUAUUAUUGUCAAAGCAAAUUUCUUGGAAUUAGGACAAUGUACAACCAAAAAUUUACCCAAUUUAAGUUGGAUUCGUUUACUUUUCAUCGUAAGUUGAUAGUUGCUACCUGUUCAUUAGCCAUGACAGAACUUCCACCUGCAAAAAUAUGAACAGAGAAGAAAUCCCAAAAUAUGACCAUUUGCCAUUUAUUGUAGUAAUCAUGAUAAACCCAACACAGAUUUGAGAAGAAACCAACUAAAAUAUACUGUACUUGAGGAAAUAAUGUAACGGGCCCGGUCGUACGACUUGAUCAAUGUUAAAAGAGCCCAACAUAUUCUCUUAAUUUAAGGGUAAAUUUUUUUAAAAAAUCUACCAAAAAUUUGGCAGAGUUUCAUUUGUAUUGAGGACAUUCCAAGUUAUCGACUACUAUCAAUUUACUCAAUCAACUCAUCAUCACAAGGUCCCAUAAUUCCGGACCUUAUAUCAAUCAUCAUAAUUCAACAACUCAUACAAUCCACACAAUAUAUAUAUAUAUAUAUAUAUAUAUAUAUAUAUAUAUAUAUAUAUAUAUAUAUAUAUAUAUAUAUAUAUCCUACGAGUAAGUUCAAUAUCAACAUGGCCCACAUAUCAUAUCAUAAAAUUUAAAAGAAAAGGAAAUAUUAACAUGCAAAGAAAGCAUUACAACAUAAUAAGUGUUCUUAAACAUUUCAAAAAGGUUAAUUACAAGAUAACUAAAGUACCACAUGUUAAGCUGAACUUUUAUAAAUACAUCAAAGUUUACACAAAAACAUACUACAUAAACGCAUUAAUUCUCUUUUGUUUAAGUUAAAUAUUUAAAUAAACUUGACAAAGUAGAGUCCUAAACUAAUGAUUUCCCUAGAUAUUUGAUGGACCUGUUACAUAAAUAAUCAUGCCAUUAUAUUGAUAAAAAAAUAUAUACAUAUGCUCAUGUAAUAUAUAUGAAAGAAGUAUUAAUUUUCUAUCGGAUCCAUAAGAAUUCUAACAGACAACUUAUGUUUUGCUUGUAAAUCUUUUAAACCCAAUUAAUACUCAUUUGUAUAUUUUUAAUUUAAAUACUCUUAUUUACUUGCAUGAACCGGGUGACCUUGCAAAAUCUAAUCUUGUGAUUCAUUUCCUGGUAAUUCUAUCACGGAUGCCAUUAGCCAAAGCUAAUCUUGCAAUUCGUUUCUCGGCAUUCCUAUCACGGAUGCCAUUAGCCGAAGCUAAUUUUGUAAAACUUUAUUUACAUUGAACACGAUAUUUAUUGUAAUGGCAUUCACCAGAAGAAUUUUAAAUUGUAUAAGUGCAAAAAAGAGGGAAAAUCACACACCUGUUCCGCCUGUCUCGUGACCUCCCCUAACAGAAGAUCCAAUCCUGGUUGCUCCUCCUGAAUCACAAGGAAGUUUUUGGUUAUGAUUCCUUCAAGCCGAUAUUAUAGACAAUCCAUAUUCCUUCAUUACUCAUAUGUUACUUUAUAUGCAUGUUCAUUUCCUCAUAAUAACAAACAUACAUAUAUCAGGUAUAUUUUCAAAGUUAGUAUCUCAAUGUGCAAGUGUUUGUGUGACUCAAUUAUUUUAUAUUCUUACAUAUAAUAUUCACAUGAAAGUCUAUUGUUACUGUCUAACUUUGAAUUGUUAUUGUCCAACGGUUGUUGUCCAACCGUUGCUGCUUGAACUGUUGUUGUCCAACGAUUGAUGUCUAACCAUUGUUGUUUGAACACUCAUCAGAUUUUUAACUAUAUCUAGAGUUCUAGAACUCCAUUUUAAGUGAGAUUGAUCUCGUUGGAAAGCUAAGAGACGAGGCUACAAGUUCUCUAAAGGAAGGAGAACCCAGUUAUGCCUCCAAAAUAGUCAAAAUUGCUCAUCAACCCAACAGUCCUACUACCCUAUAGAAUCAGUCACGACUCAAUCUCGGUUGGUAACCUAUAACUGGAGUUCUACAUCUCCAAAUUGAGCAAGAUCAGUUUCCUUGGUUAGCUAACAUCCAAAUCUACAGUUUUUAUGAGAAAUCUAAUCCUAAUUCCCUCAUCCUCCUACCCAAAAUCUCACCGAAAGUCAGGAGACAAGUUUGUCAAGAUUCGUCUCCCCCUCCCCUUCAUACAAUACUUUCAUAAACCACAUACCACACACAUAAAUUAACUUAAUUUUAACAAUAAGUACUUUUUCCCCAAUUCAUGUCUAAGAACCCUAACUUAUAAUUCAGUAUCAAGGCACUAAUUCAUUAUCGAAUUUGAAAUGAAUGUUUAAGAUCAUGUUUAGAACACAUUACCCGGUACGAAUUAAGAUUUUGAUCUUCAACUCCCUCCUUUCUUUUCUUCUUGUUCAAUUUCUUGUUAAUCCCUUGCUCACAAGUGUUUAUCCCAUCUAUAAACCCUUAAUCUUGGAUAGUUCUUGAAAUUUUAGUGUUUCUCUCUUGAUUUUGCAAGAAUGGGUAUAAAACUCCAUAUUUUCUCUCCUUAUGGUUCCCUGCAGAUUUUUGGUGAGGAGAGAGUAUUUAUACUCUAUAUUUUCCCUUAUUUGAAUUUAGGCCUCAUUUCCUUUAAAUUUUUGAAUUCCUGUCUUUUAUUUAAUCAUACGCAUCAAUUUCUUCACUUUUAUUUCUCAUGUAGUUAGUUUUCAAUUUAAGCAACCUUUAUUUAUUUUUAAUUUUUUUUUCAGGGUUUACAUUUUCCCCUCCUAAUAGAAAUUUCAUCCUCGAAAUUUGAGUAAUGUACCUAAGUUUAUAAACAAGUUAAGGAAUUUUCGUCUCAUUUUUUAUUCUCUCUCCCAUGUCUCUUCCUCGAUUUGUGAGCUUCGCCAUAAGACUCUGAUGAUGGAAACUUUCUUAUUAUGAAGUUCUUUCUUGCCCCAAUCGAGAAUCUUUAUUGGUCUCACCUCAAGUGUUAAGUCUUCUUUUACCUCCACUGGCACUUGAGGUAACACUCUCGAAGGGUCUACAUUGGUUUUUCGCAGCAAAGAAACAUGGAAUACAUUGUGAACUUUGGCCAAUUGUGAGGGCAAGUUUAUUUCAUAUGAUACAGGUCCGAUACAUUUUUGGAUUUCAAAUGGUCCGAUGAACCUCAGAGCUAACUUCCCCUUCAUGCCGAAUCUCAGCAUGUGCUUCCAUGGAGCUACCUUCAAGAAUAUUUUAUCUCCAGGACAAAAUUCAAGUGGUCUUCUUCUAAUAUCUGCAUACUUCUUCUGUCUAUCCUGAGCCACCUUCAUUCGAUCCUUGAUAAUCCUCACUUUUUCAGUAGUGAUUUGUACUAUUCUGCCCUAUACAGCUUUCUGUCCCCAACUUCUUCCCAGCACAAAGGUGUCCUACACUUUCUGCCAUAAAGAGCUUCAAAUGGCGCCAUUCCAAUUGUUGACUGAUAACUGUUGCUAUACGUGAAUUCCACUAGUGACAGGUGCUCCUCCUAGUUUCCACUAAAUUCCAAAGCACAUGCCCUUAGUAAAUCCUCUAAAAUCUAAAUAACUCUCUCAGAUUGGCCAUCAGUCUGCGGAUGAAAGGCAGUACUGACACUCAAAUUUGUUCCCAAGGCACGUUGUAUGCUCGGCUAGAGACGUGAAGUAAAUCUUGGGUCUCGGUCUGAAACAAUUGAUAUUGGAACUCCAUGAAGCCUCACAACUUCGUUCACAUACAUCUUAGCCAACUUGUCAACUGGAUCUGUCAUCUUUACUGGUAGGAAAAGGGCAAACUUAGUUAGUCGAUCCACAAUGACCCAGAUUGCAUCAUUUCCCCUCUUUCCUCUAGGUAGUCCCGACACAAAGUCCAUUGUGAUCAUCUCCCACUUCCACUCAGGGAUUGGUAACGGUUGUAACAGCCCUGCCGGCUUUCGGUGUUCUACUUUUACUUGCUGGCAAAUACUAUAUUUUGCCACGUGGCCAGCCACUUCUUUUCUCAUAUUUGGCCACCACUAGUACUGUUUUAGAUCCUGGUACAUGUUGUUACUACCUGGAUGUACAACGAACUUAGACUUGUGGGCCUCUCGUAGUAACAUUUGUUUAAGGACUUUGUUUUCAGGCACAUACAUACGUCGCCCUAACAUCACUAUUCCAUCAUCACCCAUUCUAAAAAGAGUUUCACCCCCCGAUUCUAGUUUGAUUCUUACUUUUGACACUUCAUCAUCAAGCUGUUGUGCCUCUAAUAUUUGCUCUUGAUAUCUCACCCUUAAUUGAGCCAUUAAGGAUCCUUCCGGACUCACAUUUAAUAAUGCCCCCAAUCUCUUUAGCUCACUCAUGGUUUUCUCAUUCUAAAUCGUUGGUCCACCCCUAAUUGCCUUGUCUUUACGGCUGAGAGCAUCCGCGACUACAUUCGCUUUUCCUGGAUGAUAAUCUAUAAUACAGUCGUAAUCUUUAAUUAAUUCUACCCAUCUCCAUUGUUGCAUGUUCAACUCCUUCUACGACAUCAGAUAUUUAAGGCUCUUAUGAUCCGUGAAAAUUUGAACUUGGGAUCUGUAUAAGUAGUGCCUCCAUACUCGUAAGGCAAAAACUACUGCUGCCAAUUCUAAGUCAUGAACUGUGUAGUUGAUUUCAUGAGUCUUUAGUUGUCUGGAUGCAUAUGCAACUACUUUUCCAUGCUGCAUUAGGACACAACCCAGUCCUUUUCUUGAGGCAUCACUGUAAACUACAUAGCCUUCUGUUCCGGAUGGAAGGAUUAGUACGAGGGCAGUAGUAAGCCUUCUCUUCAAUUCUUGAAAGCUCUCAUCGCACUCCUUUGACCACUCCCAUCUUAUGUUCUUCCUGGUGAGUCGUGUCAAUGGAGUUGCUAUUGUUGAAAACCUUUCGAUAAACCUUCUAUAAUACCCUGCCAAUCCGAGAAAACUACAAAUUUCAGUUACCGUAGUAGGCCUUUCCCAUCUCAGAACUGCUUCCACCUUCUGAGGGUCCACAAAAAUGCCUUCUAAAGACACUACAUGCCCUAAAAAGGUAACUUCUUUUAACUAGAAGUCACAUUUAUCCAACAUGGCAUACAGCUGGCGGCUCCUCAGAGUCUGUAGUGUCUGUCUCAGGUGCUGUUCAUGCUCCUCAUAGGAUUUGGAGUAAACCAAGAUGUCAUCAAUGAAUACGACAACAAACUUAUCAAGGUAUGGUCGGAAUACUCGGUUCAUUAAAUCCAUAAAAAAUGUUGGAGCAUUAGUUAAUCCAAAGGGUAGCACCAAGAACUCGAAGUGUCCGUAGCGAGUUCUGAAGGUAGUUUUUGGCACAUCUUGCCCUUUGAUUCGCAUCUGGUAGUAUCCUGAUCUUAAAUCAAUCUUUGAGAAUACAUGAGCACCCUUCAACUGAUUGAACAAAUCAUCUAUUCGCGGAAGCGGAUAUCUGUUCUUUAUCGUCACUUUAUUCAGCUGACGGUAAUCUAUGCAAAACCUCAACAUUCCAUCUUUCUUCUUCACAAAUAAUACGGGUGCCCCCCGAUGUGAGUUGUUUGGUCGUAUGAACCUUUUGUCUAAGAGCUCCUGUAAUUGAAUUUUCAACUCAUCCAAUUCUUUUGGGGCCAUUUGCAAUUGAAUAGCAUGUGCAACUUUCUUUAAGCUACAAUGAUGGAUGUCCAUGGCUAGAAUUGCCUCGGUAGUAGCUCUUUUCCAUGGCAUUGAUGAUGGCGUAGCUAUAAUGUGGCUCUAACAAUCAAGGUUGUCAAUUCCGUUUCGGUAGGUGUUUCGUUUUUUCAAUUGGAAUGGAAUGUUUCAGUUUCGGAGUGUUUCGGCGUGCCGUUUCGGGGUUGUACUAUAUAUAUAUAUUUAACAAACAUAAUUCAAAUUCAAGAUAAAUUAAUAUAAAUUAUGCAAUACAAACACAAUGCCAAACAAAUAUAAUUUCAAAAUUUAAAAUAUUUCUAAAUAGUCAAGAUUAAAUAGAUCUUUAACUUAAAGUAAUUCAACUUAAACAAAAUAUCAAAAUAUUAUGAAAGUAAAAUGUUUUAACACAAAUAUUUUAAAUAUAAAGUUAGGUCAAUGUUAUCAAGGCUAAUGGAAUCUAAAGCAUAUCUUGUUUUGCUCAAAUUCCUACAAAGUAUAAAUAUGAAAAAAACAACAUGAAUAUAAACCAUAUAUAUUAGUGAUAAAUCUAAUUUUAAAAAAUUAAUAUCAUUGUUAAUGAAAAUAGUAAUAAUAAUUUUCAAUAUUAUUAUCAAUAUCAUUAUUAUUGAAAAUAGUAAUGAAAAAGAGUUUUUUAUAAUUGGGUGAUUUAAUUAAUUAAAUUGAACAAGGUUCAAUUUGAUUCAAUGACUUUUCAAGAGCGGAACGGAACAUGUGGAAUGAAACCGGAACAUUCCGGGCGGAAUUUAGCCGAAAAAUCCAGAACGGACCGAGAUUUAAAAUGAGAUGAAAUUUGUUCUGUUUUGUUCUGUUUUUUGAAUUGGUAUGGAAUGUUUCGAUCAUUCCGGAUGAAACGAAACGGAAUAUACAACCUUAGUAACAAUCCUUUUCCUUAUUUAUUUUUUUGUUUUCUUUCCUCUUUUGUGCAUGUCCUUAAAAAGAAAAAAAAAACAACCAGAAUUUUAAUCUACAAUGACUUAUUUAACUUCUUCGAACAAAGCAUAAUCAUGCUUUAAAUGUCAAACCAUGUGAUCAUCAAGGAAAAAAAAAUGAAAGUAUCAUCUAACUUAAAUGGCUCUUCAACCAUUUAUUUAUUUAUUUUAUCAGGGAAAAAACUUGGACUUCGUUUUUUUAAAUUACUUUUCAUAUUUUUAAUUUAAAGAAAAUAUUUUAUGUGAAUCCAACAACUUGAAAGUUCCAAACACUCGCAAACAAGAUAUGGAGAUGGCCAUUCAGAAUUGACUUUUCUGCUACACGAACAAAAAAAAAAUAUCACCCACCCCCUUCUAGAAUCAUUGAAACUUGCUUGGAAAGAAAUGUUUGAAGGCAAUAAUAUUUAAUUGGUCUCUGCGCACAUCACCUGCCCCCUUAUCUCUCGCUCUCUGAUCCAUUUCUGGAUUUAUUUCUUAGUGUAAAAAUGACAGUGACAGUCACUUCAAUUCUAGUCUCCAUUGUUUAUGUUGCAGUGGUAAGAUGGGCAUGGAGAGUUUUGAACUGGGUUUGGUUUCGGCCGAAGAAGGUCGAGAGGUGCUUGAGACAACAAGGUUUUGCAGGCAAGCCUUACAGGCUUUUGUUCGGAGACUGGAAAGAAAGUUCAGAUAUGAUGAAAGAAGCAAGGACCAAACCCAUUGGUUUAUCAGACGCUCUUCUACCUCGUGUCAUGCCCUUCCUCCAUCAACUGGUCAAGGAUUAUGGUAUUUCAACACGCAACCCUUUAUUAUCUCUCUCGUAGAAAAGAUGAUUUUUCUUGCUAGUUAAAUAUUUCUCCGAUUUAUGAAGAAAUUCCUUUUGUUUCUAUAAGGCGCCAAUGAUUGAGAAAUUAAAACCAGUUGAUCAUGAUGAAUUUUAUUUAUGUCGAACAACUUUUGUUCACCGUUUCUCAGUAAAACUCUGUUAUCAUUGGUUUAUUUUAAUUGAUAAGAUAUUAUCUUUUACGAAUACAAAAACAAAUUAAUUUUCCAUUGGUAUCAUUGGGAAUCAGAACGCCAUGUUCCAUUGGUUAGUGCUGCACUGUGCUGGCCGAAUGUUUCAGCCGAUUUCUUAUUUUAUUUCAUUUUAUAGUGCUCUUGUGGACUACUCUCGCCUCAAACCUAGUUUUCUAUCAAUGGGAGAAAAAUAUAUAGAUUAAAUUAAUUACUUCUUAAUUAUAGUUUUAGAGAGUUAUAAUAUUUUUAAAACAGACCAAGUGGGUAUUAAUUUUCAAUAUUCAUGGUAUGCGUAUUUGAUCUCUUGGUAGUGUUGGUUUCCUACUGGACAGAACAGUACUAAUUACUAACAGUUGAAAACAUUGGUUUCCAAGUCAGUAUUGAACUUGUUAUUAGUUGGCUAGAGGUUGUAUAAAUAUAAAUAAAAGAACUUAGUAUUAUGUUUAUUUUUACGUUUCAAAAAUAUUCUUGAAAAAAAUUAAAAAUAUUUUUACGUUGGCUAGAGGUUGUUAUUAUUUUUAGUUACAAGAAUUUUACCUUAAAUUUUUUCUGGGUCUGGAUUUCUUUUGUUCAUAUCUCAAUUUGAGCCUCGUGCAUUUCCCUCAACAGAAGAAUAUAUAUAUAUAUAUAUAUAUAUAUAUAUAUAUAUAUAUUUGAUUAAUAAGUAUGCUUCCUCUGACGAUGCAGGUAAGAAUUCAUUUAUGUGGAUUGGGCCGAAACCAAGAGUGAACAUCAUGAACCCUGAUCAGAUAAGGGACGUAUUCAUGAAGAUAAAUGAAUAUAAGAAGCCCUCGCACCCGCUGUUGAAACUUAUAGUAUGUGGACUUGCAAGUCACGAGGGUGAAAAAUGGGCUAAACAUAGAAAGAUAAUCAACCCAGCAUUCCAUCAAGAGAAGCUAAAGGUGAUCAUGAUAGUCUCAACUUAUUUGCCUACAAGCGUCCAUGCUGUUCGAUUGCCUUGAAUGAGUAGCAUGCAUGUUGUGCUCUCAUAUAGCUGUAAUAUAGAACUUUCGAUGAUGAUAUGUUCUCUUUGCUUGUUACAGCUUAUGAUACCUGCGUUUUACGAAAGUUGUAGUGGGAUGAUUAACAAGUGGGAGAAGCUGGUCUCUGUAGACGAGGGGCCAUGUGAAUUGGAUGUCUGGCCUGAUCUUCAAGGCUUAACUUGUGAUGCUAUUUCUCGAACGUCGUUUGGAAGUAAUUACGAAGAAGGAAAAAGAAUAUUUGAUCUCCUCAAGGAACUUACCAAUCUUACAGCUCAUGUUAUAAUAAAAGCUAUUGUCAUACCAGGGUACAGGUAACUCUUUAUUCUGUUUUUGCUGGACAUUACAAUUCAGUUCCUUCAAGUUAGUCCUUGUUCAACGAGAUAUAUCUUAAAAGUAAGAAGCAGAACAAAUCCAAAUCUCUUGACAACAUGUUCAUGAAUUGCUUGUAGGUUUCUGCCGAUCCCAUCUAAUAGAAGGCUAAAAGCUAUUGACAAAGAAAUAAAAGCUUCUCUUAAUGCUCUCAUCAACAAAAGAGAGAAAGCAAUGAGUGCUGGUGAAGAUGCAAAGAAAGACUUGUUGGGUUUACUUCUGGAAUCCAAUUUUAGAGAAAUACAAGAGCAUGGAAAUACCAAGAGCGUCGGAAUGAGCAUUGAAGAUGUGAUUGACGAAUGUAAAAUAUUCUACUUUGCUGGACAAGAAACAACCUUAGUUCUUCUUACCUGGACCAUGAUUUUAUUGGCUCAGUAUCCGAAUUGGCAAGCACGCGCAAGAGAAGAGGUUGUGCAAGUCUUUGGUAACAAAAAACCAGAUUUCGAUGGGCUAAAUCACCUUAAAGUUGUGAGUAUUUCUCUGAAUUUGCAACUGAAUUCUUCUACAUCAAUAUUGUCUUAUUAUUGUUAAGAACACAGAGCAUUCUUGCAUUUAAAAUGCAAGCUUAAGUAUCCUUUGAAGAAAAAGUAAGAUAGCAGAAAAAAAAAGUUCAUGUUUUCUUUCGUUGAAUUAUUAAUCGGCCAAAAUGACGAGGAAAAGCAACCAACAGACGAGUACGCAAGCAAGCUAGGAGGUGACAUCUAUAUACAUUAAGAAUGAGAUUUACUAGUUCUUGGAUCAACAUAAAGAUUCUCAAUUUAGCAAGUUGAAAUGGCAUGCAAAUGAUCUCUAUAUAUGCGAUAUUUUAUUUUAUCUAAGUGGAUCGCAUGUCACCUUUCUCAUGGAUUCUUACCAUGUAGUACCAUUUUCUCUUUUGAUGCAUGUUACAGGUUACCAUGAUUUUGUAUGAAGUUCUUAGGUUAUACCCGCCAGUAAUUACGCUUAAUCGAGAUGUUCAUGAAGAAAUAAAGCUUGGAAAUUUGCUAUUACCUGCCGGAGUGCAGGUCUCGUUGCCAACAAUCCUCCUUCACCAAGACCAUGAACUAUGGGGUGAUGAUGCCUCUGAGUUCAAACCAGAGAGGUUUGCUGAAGGUGUUUCAAAGGCAACAAAGAGUCAAGUCUCAUUCCUUCCAUUUGGAUGGGGUCCUCGAAUAUGCGUUGGACAAAACUUUGCUUUGAUUGAAGCAAAAAUGGCUUUGGCAAUGGUUUUACAGCGCUACUCUUUUGAGCUCUCUCCGUCGUAUAUUCAUGCUCCUCGCACAGUCAUAACUCUUCAGCCACAGCACGGUGCUCCAAUGAUAUUACGUAAACUCUAAAAUGUUUAUAUGUGACGGAUAAGAGUUAUCCCAGGGUAUAAAAGUAGGUUGGAUCUCCCAAUAAACCAAACCAAAAAGAAAACCUCUAGUUUAUAAUAUGUGCAAAUUAUGUUAUAUUGUCCAAUGACAUAUUUGUCAUAUUAAUCACAACAUUAUAGUACCGUGGGUUGUUUUACUGUAAUCUUAGACACAGUUUACGAUAAAUUAAUAUAAUAAAAUUACAUAUUUGCAUAUGAGUGGAAAAAAAAAAGAGGAUGGGUGUUUUGAUCUUUUCUACUAGUUCAUUGAAUCUUUGGGGUGUUGAUUUUUUUUUUUUUAACAGUAAAAGAACUCUUUUACUCCUGGAAUCAACAAAAAUUAGAACUGUUGACUAAAGGUUUUUUUAAUUUUUUGAUUUUUUAUAAAUUUUUAGACAGCAAAAAUAUUUCUUUACCUUGAAAUCAAAAAUUGUUGGGUUAUUAGAUAAGGGUUUUUUUUGUUUUUCCAUUAUUCAUAUGUAGUAAAAGUAUAUUUUUGGCUCUAAGACAAAAAAUCAAGUUUGUAUUUAAGGCUAUUUUUGUAUUUUUAUACAGGUUUUUUUAAUAAUUAUCAAGGUCAUAAGAGUAUUUUAGUAUUUUUUUGAGUUUUUAAUUUUUUAAUCAGAAAAAUUGUUAGUAUGUUGUAAGUAUACGUGAACAAAUAGAUGACAUCUGUGCAUGUUAUUCAGGCAAUGAUGACAUUUCACCAUCUUCUUGGAUGUGCUUUUGUAAAAAGAUAUGCUAUUAUGUUCUCUCCCAUUUAAUGUGGUGUGUAAUGGCAUACAAUAUUAGUUUUUUUUUCUCUCUCUCCCACCAAGUGUUUAGGGUUAGAUAGCUAUUGUAAGAAAAUACAUGUAACUGAAUUGUCACUAGUUGGUUUUUUUCUCUCUCUUCUACCAAGAGUUCAGGGUUAGAUAGCUAGUGUAAGAAAAUACACAAUUAACCGAGCAUAAAAAGGAGUAAAGAAAAAGGGUAGUAACUGAAUAUAUGUAUAAUUAGCUGACAUCACAGCUCAAUGGCUUGGAAGAAAUAUAGAAUGAGUCUCCAGCAGCUUCUCUUCUGCAGAGCUUGUCUGAAAUGCAGAAAACAAUCCUGGCACCCAUAGAGGCUUGUAAAUUAUUGGUUUUUGAUCAACGAAUAACUUGUACAACAAGAUGUAUUGUACUAAUGAACCCGUUCGAGAUUGCACAGCACCAUUUCCUCGAGAGCUGGUUGAUAGGAUCCCCGAGGAAGACUUCUGAGAUUCUGAAUUGCAAGAUCAGCUCUCUCUUUUGCCAAUUCCUGUGCCCUUUCAAUGCCACCACAGUCCAUAACCAACUCAGUAGCUUCAUCAAGAGAAACACUCACACGGAACUCGGUCUCGAUUAUUUCUCUUAGUUUUGGUGAUUGCUCUAGAGCAAAUAUUACUGGAGCAGUCAGGUUCCCCUUUGCCAGGUCACUGCCAGCUGGCUUCCCCGGCAGCUCUGCUGACUGUGUAAAAUCUAAUAUGUCAUCCACAACUUGGAAGGAUAGACCAAGAUUCUUACCAUAUUCAUAGAUUAGAACGCAUACAUUACUGUCCACCCCACUAAAAAUAGCAGCUCCUUUGGUACUAGCAGCAAUUAAGGAGGCUGUCUUGUAGUAAGCUCAAGAUCACAGUCGAACAAGCUAGAUUCCUGCUCUAUUUCACCACUUGGAAAAUCCUUAAUAACCUGCCAUUGAGCGAGAAUAAUUGUAAAUCAACUUCAGUUACAAUUUUUUAAAAUUAGAUAAUAUAUAGCAUAGUGCAAAAACUCCAAGGUUAUAUCAGACACUGGACUAUAUAUACUCGGAUAUACAGAAUGGAGUUGCAGACCUACCGAGCUGAUAAGCUUAAUGAGUUCAAUAUUUUCAAGAUUCGCUAGGUACCAUGACGAUUGAGCAAACAUAAACUCCCCCAGCCAGUACUGCUACCCUUGUACCAUAGUGUUGAUGAACAGUUUCCUUCCCUGCAAAUUAGCAGCAGUGAACUGAAAGUCAGAGAAGGCCUUGCAGUAGGCCUGAAAUUAAAUUAGAAACAAAAAACAAAAUGAAAAUGCAAUAAAGUUAGUAAUAGAUAUUUCAGUUUAGCUACUCUACUUGAUGCGACAAGUAUGAGAUCCGAUGAUGGUGCGGUCAGUACCAGUGAUUAUGAUUACUUCUUAGUAUAUUUCCUUCAGUUUUUUAUCUCUGCUUAGGGAGCAAUUAUUUUAACAGUGAAAGUAGUGUAUUACAUCACUUUGGAUGUGCACAUUCAAGCUUAUCUCCAGUCAAUAGGCUCUAGCGUAGUGAUUUACAUUGAAAGAAGGCUUCAGCUAUCACUCAUCUAUGACAUACUGACUGAUAAGUAGUGAUGUGUGGCUUAAGAUCUCACUCAUCUAUGACAUACUCUCUGAUAAAGUGAUGUAUCUCUUCAGAUUCCCACAAGUUUAUAGGCUUUUAAGAAAGAAAGGAUACAUAUUUCAUUGGAUCUUCAUACAAUACAGUGCACAAGCCCAUUCAACCAAAGAUUUCUUCACAAUCCGUGCUUGGAAGAAUAAUAGAUAAAUUCAGUUGCCGUUCUAAAGGGAAAUAGGAUUCUAGGGCAAUGAACAAGUCCAAAUAAUCAAAGUUGGCUUCACGAUAAUCAUAAUUUUCAUCUCACAGAUAGGUUGACUAAUAUGCGAGCCUGUUGGACAUCCAUCUAUUAGAACCCUUCUCUUUUCAGCCUUGGACUGGUUCUGCAAAACUCUAAACAGGGCAAAUGGAAUUAAAACUUAUAAUCCUUGGAUACAUUUCAUGGAGAUUUUAUAUUUAAAUCUUUGCAUAUGUCUAGAAAUACUCAUUUAGAAAUUCUCCAAAUGAAGCUAAUGUAGGGAGCAGAACCAUGAUUUAUGUUCUAUGAAGUGAUCUUCUAGUUGUAGUAAGACAUGACCUUAUCCAAUACAGAUUAUAAUGCUGAUAACCGGAUUGAGUAUUCUUUCCAUCAAGCAAACUGUACAAGAAUAUCUGUAAGCAUAUUACAAUAACCAAAUAGAGGUUGUUGUCUGUUACCAUUCCACAGCUACAAAGACCUCAGCACUUUACAAAUACUAAGUACAGAGCAUGCAAACUGUAAGUGGGCGUUGGUGACUAACAUUAGAUCCUUGUACACUGUAAGUUUUAAAAUAACUUGGGUUUAUUCAAUAAGCAUAUGUUGGUGAAUGAUGCAGUGACAUUAAUGAGAUUUUUCAAGUUGCUUUGAUGUGAAAUUCAAAAUCCUACCUCUUCGCAUGCCACUUUCAUCCAAUAAAUCAUCAUGUAUUAAACUUGCAGUGUGGAUCAUCUCAAUAAUCUCCGCUAAACGCUGAUGUUCAGUUGUAAGAUCCCUGCAAAGCAGAAAUGCAAUAUACUUUUUCUAUUCCAUUCAGCACCAUAAAAAGCCCUUAAAAUACUGGAUAAAACUUCCUUCAACCCGACUACUUCCACCGUGGCUCUUGACAGUAGAAAGACCAGAGCUGGUCGCAUUCUCUUCCCACCAGCACCAAAUAUCUGCUCAGCUGCAGACAUCAAAACCAUAUUUUCUGCAGCAUCAAUCUACCAGGGCAUCUUCAUCAGAAAUAUAAAAAGCUGGAUAUAAAGAACAAGACAAACUAUUCUGAUCCAGUGCAAAAAGGUACAUGAUUCAUCAAUAUAGAGGGUAACAAAUAAUAGAAAACAAACAAGUAGAACAUGGAAGCAGGUAAAAGUUUUUAUGCAGUGGCCCUCUUUUGUGAACUCAUCUUGUGCCAAAAUAACCUUGUUUACUUGUACUAAAGUACAGAAUCAGUGCUCAAUUUAAAUUUUUACGCACUACCACUAUGCCAACUGAUAUCAACUCAGAACAUUUGUAGUGGUCUAUCAGCUAACCACUAGUUAAUAUAUUGGUAAAAGUUCAUUCUUCAUUGAUCUACUAGGACAUAUUCUACUACAAGCAAACAUUAACUAUUCAUCCUAACAUUCAGAUAAAUCAUAAUGCAUCUUUCAAUGGAAUGAAGAUGAAUGAGCAUGCACUUGAGCCAGGAACCAAAUUCUCAAGGAAGAGACUAAGGAAGAAGAGCUGAUUCCCAGCAAAAUAAAUUACAUACAAGGAUAACUACCACAGCCACAGACUAACACAACAAUUCAAGAUGGCAUUUUGAAGCAAAACCACAUUCGUAUUCCAAGAAUCAACGAAUCAUAAAACACCAUCAACUUACAUAAAGCACGAUAUGAAAAUUCAGCAUCUAUCAUUAUUGGCAUGGAAGAACUCAACAGUAUGCAAUAACUACGUCCUAGCAUAUGUCUAACUACACGAUAUCUAACAUGUAUUAACUACUCAACAACAAAUAUCUAAAAAGAGCACUCACAGACCGAAGAUUUUUCUUAAGAUUCAGAAGAUCAUCAGCAACCACUUCAAACAAAUUUGUUAAUGAAACUGGUUCUCUUGACUCUUUCUUCAAAUUCAGAAGUCCUGUGGGACCUUCAGCAACUCCUGUAUCAAGCCAAAAAUGAACAAAAAUACCAACAUUUCAGGCAUUACAACAUAUUACAUCAAUGGCAGGUGCUUUAUUGAUGGAGACCAAGCACUUAAAUGUUAUGUUUAGUAAAUGGAAUCACCAAAAUCUUAACGAAUUAGGAAAGCACUAAACUGUGGUCACUGAUAUUAUUUCUGUUGGAUACAGACACUAAACUGUAAUCUAACAAAUUCAAAUUGUUCCGUCGAAUACAAAUACAUUCAGCAUCAAUAAGACACGAAACUAAUACUCUAAGAUAUCCUAAAAAGCAAUUUUAAACAUAAAUACGAAAGGCAAAUACAACUACUAUCAAUACAAGGAAAAAACAUGAAUAUCAAAAACAGUUAGCAAAACAUAAAAUCCAAAUUAAAAUAAAAAGUGCAAAAAAAAAUGUACUUGCAAGUAAAGUCUAAGGGGUUUUUGUUGAAGAAACUCGACACCUAGCAAUAUCUCGCCGGCAACAAACCAUUCUCCUGAAACCAUAAUCUCUGUUACAACUCUUAGAAACUGACUUUGCAUAAUUCCUCACCGAAUACCUAUCUAUUGAAUCACUAGAGGAGAAGCUACAAGCCACCAAAUGAAGUUUAGCCCUUCCAAAAUCAAGAUUACGGCAAGUCAUUUACAUCAUUCUCAAUAGCAACACCCCAAGAAAGCUAAAAAGAAACAAUCAUUCGCUAUCCACUUAAAAUACCCAGAUAGAAAAUAUUGCUCAAUUUGCCAUAUAACUAACAGCCUUGAGAAACAAAUAGAGUAAUUUGAAAGUGUUGAAAGUGUUUUUUUUUAAUUAAUUUUAAUUAAUUUUUGUUUUAUUGUUUUUAAAUUAGUUUGAUGUUUUAUAUGAAUUUUAAAAAAUAAAAAAUAUAUUAUUUUAAUAUAUUUUUAAAUAAAAGUAAUUUGAAAAACAAAAUAAUUGGAGUGUUAAAAAUAUAGAGUAGAGAUUAUUUUAUAAAAUAUUUUUUAUUUAAAAAUACAUCAAAAUAUAUUAAACAAAUCCUUCAAAAUAACUCAUGAAAACCAAAACUAUCAUUUUGAUUACUAAACAACCGUUCAGUUUCUUUAUCUUGUGUUAUUUCUGUUAAUUUUUUUUAUUCUUUAAAUCUAGAGAUUAAAAUAUAAAUAAAUUAAUUUUUUAUAUCAAAAUUAAAAAUAUUAAACUAAAGGGACCAAAACAUAAAAAUAAAAAAAAUUCAAGCCCCUAAUUGUUAAAACCCGUUCUUCUUGUAUAGUAAAAAAAAAAAAAAACUUGCUUUUGUCUUUCGAGUUGGUCCCUAAAGAUUAAAUUAUUUUUAAACAAUAAAAUCAAAGUUUACUCUACCAAAUUGUGAAACAAUAGAGACCACACAAGAAAUCCUAAGUUAAUUGAAACAAAUAUUUUUUUUUUUCAAAUAUCACUAAACAUAAUAUUUAAGAAUAAAAUUAAAAAAAAAUAAUUACCAAAAAUUAUACAAAAAAAUCUUGAAGAACAUAAAAAUAAAAAAUAAAACUCACUGUUUCAAUCUACAAUAAAAUACUAAGCAGUUUUAGCCUUUUCUUAAUCUUAAGCUGAAUGUUUUCAAGGCACAUCAAGGCCUCUAACUUGUCUUCACAAAGUAGUUAGAUUCGGAUUACGAAAUAGAUGUAUAGGAGGACCUAACCUGGUGGUUCUUCUGAGUUCUGAUCCUGAAUCAAACAACACUUGCUGGUUGCUACUUUACAUCCGAAUUCCCACACUCUCGCGCACUUCUAUCAUAGUUUAUGUUUUGGGCUUUUGAGGUGUAAGUUUGCUGGGAGCUUGCAAUUCAAUUUUGGAUCCUUUAUCGGGAGAUCAGCAAUUAAAUGAGGCCUGACAAAAUUAGGCAAGAAUGUAUGUCAGACCAACUCUUCUGCUUCCUUGCAGCAAUAUAUUUCCAGCAGACAAGUUGCCAGGAAUUACUUCCUGGACCAAGGCUUAGGCAUAGAUGCAGUUGCUAUAGCCUGCAAAUUGACACAAAAUUGUCGUAAGCAUGACAUGAAAAUGUCUUCAUUGUUGCCAUGCAUCAUACAUGUAGUAGUCCUUACUUGGACCAGUCUUGACAAUGAGGCCAGAGUCCCUGAAAUCACAAUUCCAGCGGUUCCUUCCCUUACAUUGGUAGUACAGAUUCAUGGCUAUUGAUGCAUGGCUUAUGAGACUAUCUGGAGAAAAGCAAGGGUAACCCUUUUGUAGAAUCUGGCAAUCCACGUGAGAGCAUGCGUAAUUGAUAUUCGCUAGUAAAGUUGCUUGAUCCGACGAUGGCUUGGCCACACACCAAGUUUUCUGCAAUAUUAUUGUCAAAGCAAAUUUCUUGGAAUUAGGACAAUAUACAACCAAAAAUUUACCCAAUUUAAGUUGGAUUCGUUUACUUUCCAUCGUAUGAAGUUCUUAGGAUAUACCCGCCGGUAAUUAUGCUUAAUCGAGAUGUUCAUGAAGAAAUAAAGCUUGGAAAUUUGCUAUUACCUGCCGGAGUGCAGGUCUCGGUGCCAACAAUCCUCCUUCACCAAGAUCAUGAACUAUGGGGUGAUGAUGCCUCUGAGUUCAUACCAGGGAGGUUUGCUGAAGGUGUUUCAAAGGCAACAAAGAGUCAAGUCUCAUUCCUUCCAUUUGGAUGGGGUCCUCGAAUAUGCGUUGGACAGAACUUUGCUUUGAUUGAAGCAAAAAUGGCUUUGGCAAUGAUUUUACAGCGCUGCUCUUUUGACCUCUCUCCGUCGUAUAUUCAUGCUCCUCGCACAGUCGUAACUCAUAACUCUUCCUCCAAUGAUAUUACGUAAACUCUAAAAUGUUUAUAUGUGACGGGUAAGAGUUAUCCCAG